rnacentral:lncRNA from 1 species
GUAUUGAUGGGCGCCGUCGAGGGCUACCGCGUUGCCGGUGGCCCGCUCGGCGAGGUCACCGACCCGCUAUACCCCGGCGGGAGCUUCGAUCCCUUGGGCCUGGCCGAUGACCCGGAGGCUUUCGCCGAACUCAAAGUGAAGGAGAUCAAGAACGGCAGGCUGGCCAUGUUCUCCAUGUUCGGUUUCUUUGUUCAGGCUAUUGUGACCGGCAAGGGUCCGUUGGAGAACCUGGCCGACCACCUUGCGGAUCCUGUCAACAACAAUGCUUGGGCCUACGCCACCAACUUCGUGCCCGGAAAGUGAGGGAGUAUCCUUUAGGAUUUUGUUUGGAGAUUGAGAUUGCUGGUGUGAUGUACAUCAUUCCUGUGCAAUAUUAGUUCUCGUUCUUCAUCACCAUGUAAUGAAUCUUCUGUUCGUCUUUUCUUUUGUCACUCCUUCUAGUAUUUUUUGGGAUAAAGAUUGGCAGCUAUUCAGUGCCCCAAAUCCAAUUCCUUCCGGAUCUACGUAAAUCAAAACNNNNNNNNNNNNNNNNNNNNNNNNNNNNNNNNNNNNNNNNNNNNNNNNNNNNNNNNNNNNNNNNNNNNNNNNNNNNNNNNNNNNNNNNNNNNNNNNNNNNNNNNNNNNNNNNNNNNNNNNNNNNNNNNNNNNNNNNNNNNNNNNNNNNNNNNNNNNNNNNNNNNNNNNNNNNNNNNNNNNNNNNNNNNNNNNNNNNNNNNNNNNNNNNNNNNNNNNNNNNNNNNNNNNNNNNNNNNNNNNNNNNNNNNNNNNNNNNNNNNNNNNNNNNNNNNNNNNNNNNNNNNNNNNNNNNNNNNNNNNNNNNNNNNNNNNNNNNNNNNNNNNNNNNNNNNNNNNNNNNNNNNNNNNNNNNNNNNNNNNNNNNNNNNNNNNNNNNNNNNNNNNNNNNNNNNNNNNNNNNNNNNNNNNNNNNNNNNNNNNNNNNNNNNNNNNNNNNNNNNNNNNNNNNNNNNNNNNNNNNNNNNNNNNNNNNNNNNNNNNNNNNNNNNNNNNNNNNNNNNNNNNNNNNNNNNNNNNNNNNNNNNNNNNNNNNNNNNNNNNNNNNNNNNNNNNNNNNNNNNNNNNNNNNNNNNNNNNNNNNNNNNNNNNNNNNNNNNNNNNNNNNNNNNNNNNNNNNNNNNNNNNNNNNNNNNNNNNNNNNNNNNNNNNNNNNNNNNNNNNNNNNNNNNNNNNNNNNNNNNNNNNNNNNNNNNNNNNNNNNNNNNNNNNNNNNNNNNNNNNNNNNNNNNNNNNNNNNNNNNNNNNNNNNNNNNNNNNNNNNNNNNNNNNNNNNNNNNNNNNNNNNNNNNNNNNNNNNNNNNNNNNNNNNNNNNNNNNNNNNNNNNNNNNNNNNNNNNNNNNNNNNNNNNNNNNNNNNNNNNNNNNNNNNNNNNNNNNNNNNNNNNNNNNNNNNNNNNNNNNNNNNNNNNNNNNNNNNNNNNNNNNNNNNNNNNNNNNNNNNNNNNNNNNNNNNNNNNNNNNNNNNNNNNNNNNNNNNNNNNNNNNNNNNNNNNNNNNNNNNNNNNNNNNNNNNNNNNNNNNNNNNNNNNNNNNNNNNNNNNNNNNNNNNNNNNNNNNNNNNNNNNNNNNNNNNNNNNNNNNNNNNNNNNNNNNNNNNNNNNNNNNNNNNNNNNNNNNNNNNNNNNNNNNNNNNNNNNNNNNNNNNNNNNNNNNNNNNNNNNNNNNNNNNNNNNNNNNNNNNCAACUGUUAGCUGAGCUCAUUGGUACCCAAUUUUAUAGAAGAAGGAUAGGUGUCGAUAUUCAAUGAUGUCAAAUAAUCAUCAUGUUAUUAAGAAAAGAAUCAAUCAUAGAAAUACUUUUGAGAUAAUGCGAUGACCAGCCGCCAUCAUUACAAACCAACUUAAAUUACUGGCUGGUCCAUAGUGAAAGUCCCCUAAACUCGCAUCAUAUUCUAAACAUUAAUUAUCUUGACCAUUAGAAUCAUAUGCUAAAUGUGAAACUCGGCCGAUCGGGCAUCAUGUCUCAUAAAAAUUAGAGUUCGGUCAAAAAAUGAAUCGAUCAAUAGUUUCUCGCUCUCUCUCAAAACAACACCAACAAUAACAAUAACAUGUACAAAAAAAAAAAAAACAAGCAACAACAGCAACGUGUCAAAAAAGAAAAAUCAUAUUUUAUUAUAUGGUGCCCGCCCCCAUUUGAAUUUGUUCGUGAGCCAUUACCUAACCCACAAUCCUUCCUCAACGCCAAGGCAACGUUGACUCGAACGAUCGCGUACUUCCCGUGAAAGCACGCGUCUUUCCAACGCGUCGGCCACAGUUCACACCUGAUAGGCUGAUUGCCAUCCCAAAACCCAAGACCGAUGACACAGACUCACAAACACGCGGGUUCCACAAAGUGGUUUAUUUUUUUAUUUUUUAUUUUGAUGGGUUCUGUAUAAAUACAUAAAAAAAUUAAAAAACACAAACUUACCCACUGACAGCUUUUCCUCUUCUGACCACAGGACGUAUCAUGAGUGAUGAGCCGCAUAAGCAGCCAUCCAGUCAGCUGCCUCAUUGGCUUCUUUGAAUACAUGCUUGGCUUCCAAGGCCACAUCAUCUCUCACCAUCAUCCCAAUAUCCCUGAUUAGGAGGUGAUUUGUGCUCCAAAGUGGUUUAUUUAGCCAUGCUUUAAUUGACGUGUUUUCUUUUUAAGAUGGAAAUGGCUGUGUUCUGUCUCACCUCGGCGUUCCACAACAAAAUACACGUCGAUUCAUAUACAAGAAUGUUGCAGUAGGAAUCAUGAAAAUAUGGUAUAAUGGUCUAAUGAGAUCCGAGAUUAGACAGUCAUUUUCAAAAGAAAGAAAACAAAAUAAACUUUUCUUGCCAAAUCCUGCCGAAAGCGGAAGUAAUAAAUACUUUUCCCGCAGUUGAUCCAAGAAUUAGUGCGACUUAAACGGGGGCAACGGUUGACUCAAGAUGAAAGCUGAUGUAAAUUCCCGUGCACAAGAAAUUUCAGAGCGCACUUGCCCUCUAAUGCUUAUAGCCGUCGGGUAUGACUCGCCUAAGUCCAUCACCCUUGUCUCUCUCUGAAACUUCAUGGCGUUUUCCUCCUCCAUGUUUGCACAGAAAACGAAACCGUGUGGAAGGCUCAUUUUUCUAAUCCACGGUAUAUAUAAACAUGCGUUUCGAGGUGUGAAAGUACAUAGAAAGGAGGAGACUCUCCUUGCCCACUUUCGCUCUUGCUAACGAGGAGGAGCUAGCCUUCUUAUCGGUAACUAAAUCUUAUUAGCUAUAGUUUGGGUGGGGAGGAGAUGGCUGGGAGGAAACGAGAAUGGUUGCGAAGAAAGAUGAAAGUUAUGACGGCUAAGGAUCGGCGAUGGGCACAUAGAGUUCGUGUUUUGUCGUCGAUGUGGAGAAGGUGGAGGCAGCCCUGGCAGCCACAUCCCCACCUGCUAGUCCUCCUCGACGACGCACACUAUUACUUGAUGUGGGUAGUCGAGGCCGUCACCAUUGUUGCCUCACUUUGCUUCUUCUUCCUGCGCUUUGGUUUUCGGGUUUGAUCUUCGAAAUGGAUAAACCAGCCAGCUUGGGAGGUGGAGAGGGAAGAGUUAAGUGGUAUCUGCAGCUGAAGAUGAGAACCAUUUUAUGUAGACUUCUUCUUCUUCUUCUUCUUCCAGAGAGAUGUGUUAUAAUUCCAUUUUAUUGUUUGUAAAAUUAAUUAAUUCAUGCUCGAUCUUAUAUUUUUCGUUGAUCAAAUAGGUCAAUGCACGGAAGCUGUGUUAUAUGAUAUAUUAUAUAUACGUGAAACCUUCAAUCAUUGGAUAAUUAGUUGGACUUGGACUAUAUCAUAGUUGACUUGUAUGCAAGUUCAGAUUGAAUCCAAUUCGAAGUUUUAAAGAACAGGGAAAGGAAUAUUUCACUAAACCCAACCACCAACAAGCAGGAAGAAAGUUGAUGUCGCUGAUCUUGGUACUUUUGUACAAUUGUGCAAAUGGGAGCUUCAUUCUACUUCACAGUCAGACGAAUCUUGUUACCAAAAAAAAGGAUUGCAUAACUGAUGUUUAGCUGUACUAUUUAUUAUCUUGCUGAUAAUUUGCAUCAAGCAAGUUGUUAAUAAUUAGAGGAGGAACGAAAAACAGUAAAAUACUAAAAUAAAAUAGGAAUAGUGAUGCGUUUCUUUCAUCAUGUCAGACAGGUGAAGUCAAUGGCAAAAUGCAGUAACAGUUACGUAGUGUAGAAACAACAAUUUUUUUCAGUCGGAUUUCUAUGUCGAUCACCACUGAUCACCACCUUACUUAUUGCCGGGAGAAAACGGGAGAGUUACCGGGAAGCUUUCGUCUGAGAAUUCUUUUGUACUAUUUUUUUGCGUCAAAAUUUGGUCCACCACAUCCAUCUCUAGAUAGACCGGUGGCACAUGCUUAUCUCUUGUACCAGCCUUCACUCCCAGCCCUCAUUCAAUGGCUGCCACCUUGGCUCUCUCCUCUCCCUCCCUCGCCGGGAAGACGAGGGCAGGGUCACCAUGCGCAAGACGAAGCCUUUCUCCUCUGGCAGCCCAUGGUACAGCCCCGACCGUGUCAAGUACCUCGGCCCCUUCUCCGGCGAGCCACCAUCCUACAUGACUGUUGUAUUCCCCGGUGACUACGGGUGGGACACUGCUGGCCUCUCUGCAGACCCUGAGACCUUUGCCAAGAACCGUGAGCUCCCCACUGCAGGUGGGCGAUGCUUGGAGAACUUGGCCGACCGCCUCGCUGAUCCUGUCAACAACAAUGCUUGGGCCUGCGCCGCCAACUUUGUCCCUGGCAAGUGAGCAAUGGAGGGAUCAUCACCAAGGAGUGAUCUUGAUGGAUUGCAUUGGUCCGACUUGUAAUUGCUCUUGGCGAUGUAAGAUGGUGAAUCGUGUACCAAUAGUGUAUAUUCAAUAAUGUUCUUUUAUUCUUCAAGCUCCUAUUCUCCCCAUAGUAACAUCUUGGUUGCAGACAGUGGGAGAGGCUUGGAGUAUGAUCCAAACCUCAUGCCUCUUCAUGCAAAAGCAUACAUGAUAUAUUGAUCAUCCAGCAACAUAGAGCGAAGCAAUGAUUAAAUUACAAUAUCUCAGUCUAGAGGAAAGAACCAAGACUUCUUCACACCUCAUUACAAUAACAGUAGAUUAAGUUUCCGACCUUUAUUUUGCCCUUCCGAACUUAGCAGCUAAUGAGGCGACUGGCAGAAACAUGGAAAGGAAAGGUGGAUCUGAUCAAAACAGGAGCUACUGAUUCAUAGCUGACAGAGACAGCACCAAGAUACCAGUCGCUGAAAAUAAUAAUUACAGGCAUAUAUUUCAGAAAAAAUAAAAAAAUAAAUCAUGCGUUUUUCUGAAAGUCAACUUUUUUGUUAAAUUUUGCGAUGGCAAAUUGAUUUUUGUUCUGAAAGUUAAUGUUUUAUUUAAUUUUGUGAUGGCAGGAUAUGGUCUUUAGCUUAGUCGACCGAGGAGCUUCAUCCAUCUUGCCUUUUUAAGCGAUUCGAACGGCAGUCUUCAGUUUGAUUGGUAGAUUAAACAGAAGAAUGUGAUUUUGUUUGUGUUUGCUUUCUUCUUUUUCUGGUUAGGCAACUGAUGGAAAUUUUGAUUAUGGUCCAAACUUUUUGCUCGAAUCCGAGAUGGACAACUGAAGAUUUUAUCUUGAGUUAAUGUUUUUAUUGAAUAUUUUCUGGUACCAUAUGGUUGAUAUUAGUAUUCUUGGUGUAUCUUAGGAGCAAUGCUCAGGAUGCAUGCAUAUCAGUUGCUCACUCUUGCUGUAUUGGGAAAAGAUGAGUCCUAAUAUUAGCUGGUGACCGAGGCGUGACAAUCACCCCUACGAAGACUGACUUCUGCGAUGGCUCCGGUAGAUUCCCUUAUCAAGCCCCCGCCUAUGAGUUGUUUGCUGCCUUUUUUUUUUUUUUUUCCUUUCUUUUCUUUUUUUUUCUUGGUAAACCGACCGCUCACACUAAUCUCGCGUGAACAUUGCCAACAGAGUCACAAGCCAAAAUACUCCACAGCGGUGGAGGAACAAGUACAUAGUGAGUCCAUAAAAUCUCUCCAAAGUGAUGAGCAGUAAAGAAGGCGACUUAGUCAGCAGUUUCGUUCGUCUUCCGGUACACAUGGCCAACCUGAUUUGCUUAUUUUUCAACAAGCAUGCAAUAAGAUCCAAUGUAGAUCUAACUUUGUAUUCACUCGUGGCAUUCGAAAGAUCCGAGGCGACCACCAUUGCUCCUGCCUUCUCAAGAUUCCAUACAUUCCUUAUUAAUGAAUGGACAACCAUCCUUUUGAGUACAAGUUUAGAUUUGGCCUUAACAAAAAAAUGGAGCAUUUAACAACGCAUCUUCACAAAUCAAGGACUGCAAAAUCGCCUCUUUCGUUAUGGGGUGACGGAAGGAUCAAACCAUCAGCCAAUAUGAUGCUAACACUGCAACUUUAAAUUCAUUUUAUAAUUACGAGUUUUAAUUAGCGAAUAUUAAGAUCCUUGCAUAAAACAGUAGAUAAUAUGGCGGCCAAUGUUUCCGAUGUGCCAGUUGUGCUCAAUCUAAAAUUUCUCCUCUCUAUCAAUAUCUCAGCUCAUCUUACCGUCCACCGCACCAAGUUUACAGAGCCGAAGGCCUUAGAAACCUAAAACCGAACAUAAGAAACAGAGCAUAUACUCAUAGUAAAAUCUUUCUUUGAUCCCCUAAGUUGGUAGCAAUAGCUAUCUUUUGGAAUAAUAUAAUGACUCAUAUUCAAAUAUCUUAAUCCUAUUUAAGUGACAUCGACCUUCUACGCCGAAUUCUGUGAGGACACCCCAGAAAUCCUAUAAUGGCCCAGAAAUCACCCCAGAACUAAGUCCAGGUGUUUCUCACUGCACAUUCUGUGAGGACAUGUCUCGAUUAGACCUGACCAAACGAUCUGGCCGAUUUUUGCCGGUCUCAGGCUGGAAUUUCAGCUCCUUGCAUCAAUGUUUUAAGCCCGACAAAGUAAAAGAUAGGUUCAAGCUUGGCAUUUCUAACCCAGCACGAUUCAAAAUAUAUAAUAUAUUAUAUACAUUAUAAUAUAUAAUAUAGUAUAUUAAUAUAUUUAUGGUUUUACUCAGAUAGUUUGGAUGCAAGGAACACUGCUUUAAAAGCUUUUUUUUUUUAAAGAAAAAAAAUCAAUUGUACGUAUGUUUAUUUCUUAGAAAACUAAAACAUUUUGAAAGGUCAUAACUAGUUUUCUGAAAACUUUCUUUUUUCCAUGAAAAAGACUUAGUUUUUCUUUUUAUUUUCCAUAGAUUUUCAUGUAAUUAAACGUAUUUUAAAGAACUAGCCUCGUGUGCAAAAAUUUGAGUACGAUUGCUAGAAGCAAGGACACUGCAAUUCAAAGCGACAACUACCUCCCUUCGGUGAUUUAAUAAGAAUAGACAUGUUAAAUUCAAUGCAAAGCAGGAGUUAAAAUUGCAAUUUCAUGAAAAAGAAUAAAUAAAUCUCCAUUGAAGAUGUACAAGUAGAACAACAAACAAAUGAUUAAAUGGAGCACCCUGUUUGGUCUCUCAAGUAGCCUGAGUUUACUGCCUCUGGUGCUAUUUUCAGGACAUAACACACCUCUGCAAAUAUGGCCUACUGCUUAUGACCCCCUGAAAAUUAUUAUUUGCACCAAUACCCAUCAAAUUCUCUUGUUUUGGCAAUAAUAUCCAUCUCAUUAGAUCUUUGAUUGACGGUGUUGAUAACUGUUUUAAGUAUUAAAGGACACUUUACCCUUUUGCAAUAACACCCACGAAAAUUUAUAACAUUUAAUUUACAUCAUAAAUAACUACAUUUUUGCAUAGAUAUUUCAAGAGUAUUCAUGCAAAUUACAAGAGUAAUAAGUCAUUUUAUAUUUAAAAUGAUUCUUUAUUACGGCCAUCAGUCAAAAAUCCAAUUGCAGGGGCAUUGUUGCAAAACAAGAUGAUUUAGGGUAUAUAUACAAAUCGUGGAAAAAUAUGCAAUAAACUAUAUUUUGAAGGGUAUAUAUGUUGAAAAAAGAGACACUUUUAGCCAAUAAGAACAUACCCUGUCUCAGGUAUCAUAUCUGCAGCUGUUGGAGGCAAAUUAUGCCUUGAGACAUGCUCUCUAACCUUUGCAUGAGUUUCAGCAUCAUGCUGAAACAUCGACACCAGCUGUUGGAGUUCUAACUUCCUCACCUGAACCUGCUCUUCAGUAAUAGGAGUUUGCAACCCAAGAUACAGCAACCCAAGACCAAACAGGACAGUUCCUACAAAGAAGAGAACUCCCGUACACAAGCUAAAUGCGUAUGGAGUAUUCUUGGCCCCUGGUAUGCCAUCCACAUUGAUCCCAAAGAGACUGGUAAUUAUGGAAAGAAGAAGGCCACAACCACCAAAAAUGGUCAAAUUAUGGUUUACACGGAGGCUUCUAUCCUGAAUUCAUAAAUCGUUAAAACAACUCAGAGAUCAAAACUUUUCAAAGAACCUUCAUUUAAAGAAGCACUUGCGUCAAUGUGUUAUUCUAUUUAUUGAAAAAAAAAACAGAGAAAGAUGUCUAUUAGCUAGGUACCUGCAACCAUGCACGAACUGUGCUCUGCAUAACAUCCUGAAUUGUAAACAACCGUCCACGGACAGCUUCUUGCUCCUCCAACAUUUCCCUUGUAUUCUUUUUGAUUCCCUCUAGCAUAGUUCUUGCAGCAUUUCCUCUCAAGUGCUGCAGAAGCUCAAAUACGAUUUCCUCCCUUGCAUGCAAUGACCAUUUAACUCUAAUAACCUGCCACAGAAAAUUUUACAAAGACUAGUCAUCUUUGAAAAACAGCACAAUAAAAAAACACAGGAUAAAACUUUCGUAGUGUUAUAGUGUAACAUCCUAGAACCUCACACAAAAUGACUAGCCGGAAGGGAUUAUUUGGGUUCCUUGAUCCUGUAUAAGUAUCCAAGAUCAACGCAGCGAAUAACCGAUGUGGAACUAAACACACGCUCGCAUGGGUCCUCACAUACUUUACUCGUUUAAGCCCUGACGUCCUCAUCAGGCUAAGAGUUCAAAUCCAUUCAAAUUUAAUCACAAGUACCACGAUCGGCCCGUGGUCAGCCCAAAUAAAUCUGUGCUACAAUGUCUCCUAGUCUACAUAGGUUAUGGACUAGAUCCACUCUGAUACCAUUUGUAACAACCCAGAACCUCAUCCAAAAAUGGCUAGCCGAAAGGUAUUAUUUGGAUUUCUUGAUCAUAUAUAAGUACCCAAAAUUUACCUAGCGAAAAACCGAUGUGAGACUAAACACACGCCUACAUAGGUCCUCACAUACAGAAGUACUCUCUAGAUCCCAAUACAAGCCAAUAGGCAAUACACAAUCAGGACAAAAUGCUAGUCUAUAUUUCUUCUUCGAGCCAUGCUUUACUUUAAUGAAUUAAUUCUAAUCAGUAUUUAAAACAAAGUCCGCAAGCUCGGUACCGGAUAGCAUAUCGGUACCUUAUCAGUUCGGCACGAUAUGGUAUGGUACACCUCUAUGCCAAAAUAGCUCUCUAACCAUUUUUUUCUAUUUUCAUCUCAAUACAGACCGGUACACACCUCGGUACGGUGUGGUAUAUCUCGGUACGGGGCGGUACGCCUCGGUACUACCAACUUGAAGAUGUGUUUCAUAUUGAUUUUCUUUCGAUAUGGUACGGUACGACCUGUACCAGGUGGUACGACAAACCUUGAUCUGAAAUAACAUUAGAAGCAACCCUAAAUGGUAAAGCUUGGUGAACGAUGAGAACAUAAAAGUUGGGACAUUGCUUAGUAUUGAUGGUAAGAAUUAGUUGUACUUACUAAUGACCAAUGAUAGCUAUUAAAGAUUAACGAAUAUGAGUGAGUUUACCCAACAAAAUCAUCUUUAGAUUGUCAGCUGGAAAAUCAAUGGGUCCCUUGUACAAUGAUACCUUUUUUCUUAUUUUAAGUUGCGCUCAAAAUUUUCACUUUGAGCUUAAGAAAGGUUCAAAAUUAAACAGAUUACGUUUUGCACUGAAACCAAAUUUUCCAUCAGUUAAUGAUGGUUGCUUUUCUCACAUAUGUAAAUGUUUCUUCUUUUAGGCUGUAUGACCAUAUCAGAUGGAAACUUUACAACAAGUAGGAAAAAAUUUAAGCAUGUUAAGAGUGCAAAAUUUUCAGCCACCACCGAACUGAAGCUUAGGAACUUUACAACCAGCAUUUCUCUAUAAGUCUACCAUGCUUGUGGAUCUUACUUUUAUAGGAUGGUGGAUGUGAAGUGACAUCCGGUCAUAGGCAGCUAAUGGUAUGGUUUGCUGCUCUUUUAACAGAGGACCAGCAUGCAGAUUACCCUAUUACCUUUAACAAUGCUCUGCUUCAUUUUUUCCUUUUCAAACCUGCAGGAAUUUUCCCUGCAUAGCAAUUUCCAACUUCUUGGGGCCACUGUGUCAAUGAAGAAGGAUAAAGAGAAUGGUAGCCUUCUUGGUGGACCAUUGUUAGGGACCUACCUAAUCAUCCUGGUAUUAGCUUUCUAAACCAAUUAUCUGGUUUUAUAAGAGAACCAGUUGCAGAAUUCCAUCCACUCUAUAGCAACAUAAACCUGGAUUUCUCCAAGACCCCUCCAAUGUAAGUGCAAAGACUAUGAUUAUUCUUUCUCAUGCACUUUGUGACAAUACUCAACUGCAGGCCUAUCAAACCCUUUACUUCCAUAUAUGUUAAAUUACCAUGCCACAUGCAGUCCAGAUGUUCAAUAUCUUCAUCACUUUUAAUAAUUUAAUUAGUCAGUAACCAUAAUCUAACAUUUCUAAUAGAGGCUGUGCAAAUUGUUCAUUAAAAAAGUGAUUAUUAUACAAUAAUGAGAGAAACCUUGAACAAAGAAAAAGGAUUGACUAGGAAGUCCAGUGUGAAUACCUGUGUUGCCAAUCUUCUAAUCUCUUGGUUUAAGAUUAUAGUGAGUAAAUUUAGAUCUUCACGAUUUCUCCUGGUGAAGAUAGCAAUAUGUUACCAAUCUCUGUAUAGCACAAGCAUAAGCCAGAUCUAUAUGAAGCAGUAAAUACUAAAAUAGAUAUUUCUAUCCAGAUAAUAUGAUCUUAUAAUAGAAAGGUUACCUAUUUACAAACUUCAACUCGAUUUCAUCAGCUGCCCCAAAAACAUGCUUGCGAAACAAUCUGAACAAUGUCCAAAGGGCACAUGUUAGAUAUAUGGUUUAUAUUAUCAUAGGAGUAACAAUAAAUUUGUGCCAUGAUAGUAACAUGAUAAAGAAGUACACCAAGUAACUGGCCAAAGAUUCCAAUAGAUGUGUUGAUCAUAUAGAAAUUAUGCAGCUGAGAGUACUUCUAAGAUAUUCUUGUUGAUUCAGUGAUUUGCUUGAACCAGAUAGGGCCUGAAAUAAAACUUGGGAGCUCAUUCAAGUCCGGUCAAUCACAUUUACAAAUUCUCUGUUGGAUCAGAUCAUGUGUACAAGUCUAAGACCAAUGAGGUUAUCAGUUCAAGUCAGGUCCAACUACAUCAAAACCUGAUUGCACACAUUCAAAUUUGAACUAGAGCAGGGAAGGUCAACACUAUGUCAUGCUGUAUGUUCAGUUCACCGGGCCAAAAUCUGUUCUUUCUGUUUUCUCCUUCCGCUUCUUCUAGAGGUGGUCUCUCUCCCUUCUUAAAGUGGGUGGCUCUCCCAGAAGGUGGAGCCACUAGCCAAGCUACUAAUUAAGGUAAAAGAUCAAUAAAUACAAACUAUAAUUUCACUGGACUUUUAAGAAUACAAAAUUAUGAACAUAGUGAAUGAAAGAGGCAUUACAUCUUAUGAACACGUCUGUGAAAAAACAUGUUUAUGCUUCUCUAAAAUUGCAACUAAAAUAAUAACUAUGCUCAGCUUCAUGAGCUAAGCAGAAAUCUCCUCAAUAUAUUAUGUUCCAGAACAAAGUUGCAAAUCUCCAACCUAGCUUUGUGGUACUUGGACAUACAAUUUAAGUUAGUGUUCAUCUGUUAAAUUACUUUUUCUUGAAAGGACUAUUAGAUACUUAUACAAAAUAAUGGUAUUGUUGGCUAUGAUUCGGACAAGAUUCAAAGCCUACAUGUGUUGGAAAGAUUUUUUACUCUUUUUGUUCCCCUAUAAACACACCGUAUAAGUUUAAAGAGUGCUACCACACAUGUAAAUACAUCUACAUCUCUUGAUAGGAAGUAAUGGUAGCAAAAAAGAAUUCAAAGCUUGGGGAUUACAUCUUACAAGUCUGCAGAAGCAGCUAUUAAGUCUUCUUUUGUAAAUAGGAUCAUCGAUAGGGUAGAUAUGUUUUCAUGGAGGAGACACAGAUUUUUGUUUGAGAAUCAAUAAAAAGGCCAGGAGCUGCUAAUUAACAUCCAUGGAGAGACUAACGCAAUGUCAUAGCAUGAAACUGAGCAAUGGCAUACCUGGGAAAAGCGAAGGUACUAAAGUAGAGACUGCCAAUAACCACUAGUACAAUUUGGAGGAAAUGAUUGGUCAACCAAAAGGGAAAACAAUAAAUUCAAGUAAAAUUAACAAUGAAGGCAAAGAGAACAGCAUAGCUAGGAGAGAUGCUCAAAGAAGGUAGGUCAUGAAAAAACUUACAAGCACCUAAGAAUUUUUGUCAUAUCAUCAGCAACUCAUAUGCUUAAAGCUCUCAACUCUCAAGUGAAUCCAAUAAGGCUUCAAUCAAGGGUUCAUAUACUAGUAGAUUACUAGUAAGAUAGCGUACCAUACCUAGACAGUAUGCCUUUUGGUGCAAGCACAACAAAAAUGAUAUACAAUGUGCUGGUACUGUACAUUACAGUACAGAGGGGGCGCGCCAGUAUAGCUCACAAACUAUAGCCCAGUAUUUAAAUCCUUGGGUCUUCACAGAACAAAACAUCACAAACUUGAUAUGCCAAAAAGGGGUCUCUAGUGGAAUGAGAGGAGUGCAAACAACCCUUAAACAAUGUCCUAGAAGGCACAAGUAAGAUUUAAUGAAGGUGAUACUCUUUUGAACAAAUGAUUACAAAUGAUAUUAAGCAAAGAUUAGACCCCAAGUACUUUAAGUUUCUUUUUUUUUUUCCUUUCUUUUGGGGUGGGCAGGUAGGGUUUUUGGUUUGGGGGAGCUGGGGGGAAGGGGAGGGAGAGAGAAGAGAACAAAAUCAGCAGCUGAUAAAUUGAUAUGAAAAUGGAGGCUUGUUGAACCAACUUAGAGUGAUUAGCAAAAAUCUAGAUUUAGGACAAAUCACUGCAGAAUUGAGCAAGUUUCAAAUGAUCAGGCAGAUGCUAUUUUGAGUUAAUAUAACUGACAAAAAGCAUCCUCAGUUACCUGCAAUAAAAGGGUCUUUUGACUUAGUACAGGAAAUCUAAGUACAGCACAAAAUUCAAAGAAAACUUGAAAGUCUAUGGUUUCUCCAAUGUCUAGUAAAAGUUCUUCGUGAUACAGUGCUCAUCUUGCCUGACUGUGCCAAUACUUUGAUGAAAUAAUUUCAAAUGGCAUGCGCACAAUUUGGAUAAAGGUCAUUACCUACUUAUUUUCCCGACAACUUGGGGUCCUGGGAGGGGCGAACUGGGUAGAGACCUAAAUUUUGGCCUUUUUUUAUACAUAGUGGCUGUCCCAAGACUUGAACUGAUGCCAUGGCCCUCAUAAGCCCAAGCCUUUAUCAUUGCACCAAGCAAUGGCCCCUAUCAGCACAUUUUGGACAUGCAACUGAAAAGCUUAACAGUGAAAGCAGAAAAUGCAUAUGAUAAUAUUCAGGAUAGCAGCAAUGCCCAAAUAUGCAAAUGUCACGCGAGUAGCAUGGUCUGGAAUGGUAACAGUAUAUCACGAUACAAAAAAAUGCACGUAAUAGCAUAUUCAGCUGAAAUGAAAGAAAAUGGUGCAUAUAUACUAAAGAUGGAUAGUUAUCUGCCUUCUCCUUCAUAAAUGGACAAGAUUCUAAAGUUUUGAGAUAGAAAAUGACUACCAUUUGCAGUAGCAGAUAGCAACAGUUUAGUCUAGUUGACUAGAAAGCAUUUUCUUUUCAUGUAUAGAUAGGACAAAGAGCAAAAGUGAAAGUAUACCUUCUUACAAUAAGCACAUGGAACACGGGUAAAGGACUAUAAUAUAGAUAGAUUUUCAUGGAAUUAUCAUUUAUAAUCUAUAGGCAAGAACUCAAGAGCAUCGGAUAUACCAAAACUUCAGCAAAUUUAAAUAAUCAACAACUGGAAACAACAACUAUAUCGACAUCACCUAUCAUCCCAUCGAGAAAGGCGACAAAUUAAAUGUGCUAUAACUUCAUGAACUGAUUUAGGAGCAACACUCCCACCAGCAAGAAGAAGCUCCUGAGAAGAAUUUGAUCAUUUAUCCUCAGUAUUGGACAGACCUUAGAUAUAGGGGAAAAAAAUCAUACUCAACAGAACAAGGAGCUUAGUAAAUCAAUCAACAAAAUAGUAUAACGACAUGGUUAAUCUCUUUUAAGUACCUGAACUUCAGUUAUCCCCAACACAUUUAUGUUUGAAGCAGAACCUUUGAUAUGCAAUGCAGUUAUUAAAAAGUUUUGAGCUUGCCAUGACCGAAGCACAAUAGGUAUGUCAUCUUCAUCACAAAAGGGAUCACCGACUGACUGACCUAAAAGUUCAAAUAAUAGUCCACCUGCAACCCUAACUGGGACCUGAAAAGCUAACAUCAGCCAUAUUAAUUUAAGAGGAAUGACAACAUGAAAUAAGUGUAUAACAAACUAAAAGGAAAGUUGAUAUUUGACUGCCUCAAGAUUAUAUUAGACAAACAUAAAUGCAUAGCAACGGAUAUGUUUUCAUUUUUUUUUUAAAUAUAAUUUUAUGGAUUCAAGUUUUAAUUGGUAUCCUAUAUAUCAAGACUACAUUAAUAUACAGAAUCCAGUCAUCUGUGCAAACUCAAUACGAUUACUUUGAUGGCUACCAUUGUAAGAAAAAAAAAAGAAAGAAAAAGAAAAAAAGAUCCUCUUAUUUUUUAAGCAAAUUCUUUAUAGUAGUUCUUUAUUUGUCAAAUGACAGCUUUUAAAUUUCCCAUUUCAUACUGUGGAAUUUGAUAAUGUCUAUUACCAACCCUUUUUAUUUGAUCAUUCUUGUUAUACCAGGAUGGUGUACCACGGAAUGAUUAGUUCAUGAUAUAUCAUUCUAAAGUUGGAUCUCCUUUAUAUACUAAGGAAAGGAUUUUAUCGCCACAUGGAAGAAGCUGAUGUCUACUCAUCAAGUGAUCAUAUUCUGUCUGCAUGUUUUCCCAGACAAUAUGCUGAACUUUUAGUCUGUUGAGCCUGAUGUACACGUGGACCAGUCUCCUAACAGCUUAAGCCUUUGGGCUCAAGCGAUUAGCCAACAUGGUAUCAGAGUUAAGAUUGCUGGAGGUCAUGAAUUCAGAUCCCCUCUAAUUUAAUUAUCUAUUUAGUUAAUCCAGUUGUCAUCUCGACUCGUUAUUUCUCUGUUCAGUAGGUGGGCAGGGUCUAUCUUGUAUGCAUGGGAUGAAGCUGGUAGGUUUAAGUUGAGGCUAAUGACUUUCCUGACAUAUAUACACGCUCAAGAAUAAAUAAGCUAGUUAGCUGGUGCCAAAACUUAUUUCAUACCAUGAAACUUAAGAAGUAAUGAAUUCCUUGUUACAGAAGAUUAUCUGUACAAAUUUAAAUAUCAAGGGUUGACCCGUCAAUUUGAAUGAAUUUUGUAGUCAACGGAUCUAAGAUUCUCCUAUGAACGUUAUAGGCAUUCUUCAAGUUGAUUGGUUAUUUUGUAUCAAAUAGUAGGUCUAUGCUAAAAAUCUAGGAGAAAUUGCAAUAACAAACAUUUGGAAAAGAAGGUUAAAGAACUGUAUAAUUUUUUUCAGGAAACAAAGGAAUUUUAUUGACAUAUACAUGAGAUAUGUCUAAACACAUGCAAACAGUGUUUUUUCUAUACAUAGAUAGGUAGGUAGGUAAGUAUCAUGCAUUCAUGACACCUAAAGAAAUUACAAACUUAAAAAUACAAAGUGUUCAUGAAUGGAGAUGGAGCAGCUACUAGAAGAAUCAGUAACAAGUCACCUCGUAUAAAAGGUGCUUCAUCCGUUCACUAAUAAGCCAACUCUCAUCUCUCAAGGCAAUACUGAUGGCAGGAUGCAACCAUGGAGAAUUACUUAGCCACGAAUCAACAUAAGGAUGACCUGCAGUUACAUGACACCACCAUCUAGGCCCUGCUGGACGCUCCCAGUAAGGAGCUGCAACAGCAACAGUAAAAUCAUCCUCAUCAUCAGUAAGAUCUAGUGAAGCCCAGCGAGCAUCAGCUUGGACCAUCUGGACGAGUUCCGAAAUCCUAGCCCAACCAAUAGGAAUCCAAUGGCUGUCUGAAAAUACCCUCAUAAACUUUGGCUUUUCUUUAUAGUCAUCAAGUUGAGGAACUUCCUUGACACCUAAGAUGGAGACAGUGUUGUUUAGAUCUAUGAGAGGCGUGGAUUCCGGUAAGCUGUUCUUAUUCAAAUAUUGCGAAGAAGCAUUACCAAGUCCAGAUCUAGUAAUUUGCUUCUUUGGAUUCAGACUGCCCUUUCGCUGCAAUGAAAGGGUCCUUGGACCAGAUUUAUCUGGACUUGCCGACCUAUGGCCUCGGACAAAUUCAAAAGCACAGAUGAGCCCAUCUGUCCAUAGUUCAUUCCGUGGUGCACCUUCUCUACUUGCAUGGAAUUUACUGACCUCUUGCUUCUUACUCUUACUGCCCAUGCAAGCUGGACUUUGUUCAUCAUAAUCGCUCAUUUUAAUUUCAUCUAGAGAAGCAAUUAAAAAUUUUCAGUUCAUUAUUUGUGAAGAUAUUUAGAUAGAACAGGAAACUAUGGAAUAUGAGCAGUGCCAGAUAAUGAUCUUGCAUUCUUGAGAGCCUUCCAUUGGCUGAAACUUGCAGGCUUAGAAUGAAAGUUUAAAGUUACCUACAACAUGCUUUCAAGGGUGGGAAGGAAAUAAAAAAGCACGAUAAUCAUAUAUUUACCUGAGGACAUGCAGGAUAUCAGGAAGCAAGUUCUUUUAACUAUAAGCUAACAUACAGUGAAAUACUCCUUUGACAACCCUAAGUCAAGCAUCAUGAAUUGUAAAAGAAAAAGUGAACUAGUAAUAAUCGUAUACCUGAAAAGGCAGGCAACAGACAUCAAACGCCACUGAUUUUCAAAUGUGGUUUUUAUUAUAUGCCAACAAAGUACAAAAAUUCAGGUAAGUCUGUUGAAGCAUAAAUUAAGAAAAAAGGAUUGUUCUUCAAACAUAAGAUGAAUGCCUCCAUCUAUGGCAAACAUAUAACAGAUAUACAAACUGAAUACCUUUCAAGAGGAGGGUAAAGCUGCAUAUGGGGUUGCAGACAUUGGCCAGAUGGAUAAUUUGAAUAGAUUGCCUUCUCAUGAAGGUCCAGAAAUCAGUCUGUAUAAUGAUUGGACUAUUAUUAACAUAAAGAGUAACUUAGAAUUGCCAGAGGGUGAUAAAAAGAAUGCUGCAAGAGGACUGCACAUUGAGUUCUCCUUGCUUUCAAGCUUUUGUUAGGAGGGUUAAAAUCCAUUAUUUAGGGGAAUAUUUGCAUAAAUAAUUUGGUUAUGAUGGGAUAUUGGAUUCAUAAGAUCAUUAGUAGAUACUGCUAUCUUGAAUAAUUUAUUUAUUUUUUAAUGGCGAAUCAACCCACUUAAAGGUCAACUGGAAUUUAAUUAGCGGCAGAGAGUUGGGUCACUAUCUAAUGACAAGGAAUUGUAAGGAAAAUGAUUUUGUGCAUACAAUCUUCUCUAGGACAUACAGAUGUGGCCGCUAAGAGCAGCAUGACCAUAAUGCUCUUCGUCUAUUUUCUUCUCUUCUUACAUUAUUCAUCAUGAGAUCUGUACUAGGCACGGUACCGUCAGUUUCUUUCUGAAAAUGAAUCACUGUCUUCAUCAACAUGCUCAAACCUUUUGCUCUCCAUCUUUACUCACAUUCAUCUGUACCUCACAAGAAUUGUUUCCCUUUGUCUCUGAGAAAUAUUAUCUAGAUAUCUUUCUUUUACAUGCUUAAAGCCAGUCAUGUUCCAGUUGUUUUGACCAAGAACAUGACUCUAAUGAUUGCUUAUGGGCAUUGGAACUCUCCUUGAUCCAUGAUGCCACCUUGUAUGUGGCUUUAACUGUUCAAAGCCUAAAAUUUUGCUGCCAGCUCACCCUCAAACUCACGAACACCAACACUCACCAUUGGUAUAAAGAAAUUUUUAGAACAUUUAUCCAUGCUCUCAUAUUCUCAAUGUGGAUGUUCAGGCUUGAUUAGGAUUGGGUACAUUAUCUCCUUGGGAAAAUAUCUUACCUUCCAAAAGAGCUCUUAUCUCAUUUAGCACCCUUCUCCCCAUCCAAAUAUAACAUAAUCAUAACCAUCAAGUCCAUCCCAAUUAACAAGGAAUACCUCUUAUGUCGGGCAUCUCAACGUCCUUUCCCACAUUUACACAAAUUUAAUUGACAAUGGCUAGGUCCUCGUCACCUCUUUCCUAUGACACACAUAUAAGCAUAUGUUCAGGCCUUGAUCAAAUCUCUGUUAAGCCCAUAACACCUUAACAAACUGUAAAUUGCUCUACACUCGAUUUAUGCAUACUUUAUGCCCCUUUUCAUCAUAUCCUUCCUAGUAGACAUGCAUUCUUAAUAAUACAAUAUUUGAUCCCUUAUCAUUAUUAUCAAACAGAAUAUUUCAUGAAGUCAGCAACUAUGCAUUGGUCAAAUAACACCUCAGAAGCAUUCUCCAUUCUCUUGGGCAAUAAAUUAGUAAUAUCGAUACCAAUGCAAGAUAAAACGUUGUUGUUAUCCAGCCAAGAAAAAAUAGAACAUUUUAAUCCCAAAGUCUAUGCAACUUUUAACCCUCAUUUAUAGUUAAAAAAUUGGAUAUGUGCCCCUCUCAGAGACAUGGGUCCACAGAAACCAUGAUGCAAGCCUUCGAUUAAUGAUUCUAUGCAUCAGCUUACUUCAUAAACUAAUUGUUUGCUAGAAUUUUAAUUUCCCAGCAACAAUGUUUAUGUUCAUGAUAUACCACAUUCAUAGAUUGGGCUUUUGCCCAAUACUUUUCCCAAAAGAAGAAAAAAAAAAGGAAAAAAAGACAUUCCACCUUCAUAAACAACAUUAUGCCAUGCGAUGCCUUCCAAGGAAACAUAUAAAUCCCUUCCUUAUACAAAAAAUUCGCAGACUAUGGUCCAGCAAACACCUUGGCCAUUAAAAAUUCUGUAAUCAAUUGUUUGCUUUUCUUUCAACUGUUAGAUUUGAAAGUUCUUGCAUCAAAAUUUUAAACAAAUAAUUCAAAAUCUUAAAAGAAAUAAAUACACAAGUCGAAGUGUCUAGUCUAUUGAGAAACAAUCAAUUGUAAAUCAAUCGACUAGCUUGUGAAGCCAACUAUCAACUCCAAUAUCUAACAAAAGAAAUAAGUCCUCAACAAAACAGAGCAACAUCUAACACCUUUUUUUUGCUGGGGGCGGUGGAGGGCUGAGAGAUUAAAAAGAAAAAUAAUUUACUAUAGAAAAUAAAGAAAAAGAAUUGAUAAUAAAAGAAGAGAUUGAGACAGAAAAUAAUUACCGAGGAUUGGGGAGGCGGCGAAAUCUUUCUGGACUCCCUGCUUCUCCUCUUCUCUUUAUUGUUGUACUUUUCUGGCUUCGGAUUUGAAUAAGAGAAUAUAUAAAGAAAGAAUUUGUAUAGGAGAAGGCGGAGCUCUGAAUCCGAUCACUCUCGAGAAGCCGACAGUGGAUCAGCUGAGAGACUCAGACGCGGAAGAAGCACAAGGUGGAUUAGCAAUAAGAGAAUCAAAGGUGGGUUGCCUGAAAUUUACGCUAGACGGCAUAGCGAAGCAAAUGCGGAGCCGUGGAGGGAAGGUAGUGCGAAAAAAUGAAAUUAAGAGGGCAGUUGGGCUUCUAGCCUUUUGACACACAGGCGGCGCUUCCACGGCGUUCUAGGCGUUAGCCGUAAAAUGGACCCACAAAGCGAACCAUUUACCUGCUUUCGCGCUCGCCAAAGGUACGCCAAGCAAUAUCCCACCGUAUUCUCUCUCCUCUUCGUUCCGAAUUCCGAGUCCGCCCUCCCCCACCAUCACUCUCAUUUGUCGGUGGCAACGGUUAGCAGCAAUGAUGAAUAAAGUUGAUCAGACUUGAGAAAAAAAUAUACAAUUUUAAAUAAGCUAAACCUAAAAUUUUAAAUCCCUAGUUCUGCCCAUGAUCAGCUCUAGUAAAAAUACCGUGUGACGAUGGUAAAAAAAAAAAAAAUCAAAAAAUGAUGAGAGACUUACUUCUUAGUUUCAAUUUUUAAAAUAAUAAGAUAAUUUUUAAUAGUAAAAAAUAAAAUAAUGAUACCUAAUAUAUUUUUUUAACAAUUAUUUCCCAUCUUGUUUCUAAAAAUAAAAAAUAAGAAAUAAAACUAAAAGGGUCCUUAGAUUCCCAGCGAAUUAGAGAAGUCUCUCCUGUUAGAUAAAUCGAGUUCACUGUUACAUGAAAGAAGUCUGCAGAUAAUGCUCUUUAUCAGAAUAAAUGAAAAGAACACAGCUCAAAUAAGUCUCACGUGGCUAUAAGAUAAAAACACACUCAACCCCUAAAUUACAUUGGACCUCUCAAGGCCUCAGACAGCAGCCAAUUGGGUGAUUCUUGGCUGCUGCUACGUGCAGUUGAUCAGACCCAAAUGCUCGACAUGAAUUACAUGUGAUCAAACUGUAUACAGGCCCCAUCAAGGUAUCUCUUCCACACACCGAAAGACUGAGAGACAUGAGCAAUCGCUCAGUAACUGUGCUGCCACAUCUGGUGCGAUGCCUGCGAUGGUGCGGCCUGGGAGACGUUCAGAUUUCCUUCGCUCGGAUUUUGCUGAAGUUCUUGGGGGACUCCUGCCUGCGAAGGAUAGAAAUUUGGGUAUCCCGGAGGUCCAAAUUGCGAAGGCUGCUGACCCUGUCGAAAGCCGCUAUGCUGAUUCUGCCCCUGAAAGCUGUAGAAAGUGCUGGCUGGAAGAGCUGACAUUGUUCUCGAACCAGCUCCAUGAACCCACAUGGCAGUGUUAUCAGCCUGCCAAGAACUAACAGUCAAAAGAAGGCUUCGCUACUGAAUGCUUUAAAAUUCACGGCUAAUAUUAUUACCUGCUGAAGAGGCAUGUAAUGAUUUGCUUCUUUGUACUGCGAGCUUAAAGCUUCCUCGAGGCCGAUGGUUGUGCUGGCAGAGACAGUGGUAGGAUCAAGGGUGAAGCUUCCAGGAAUGUUAGCUGAGCUUCCAAAGCCUCCAUAAGCAGAGGCUACAGCAGCAGACUGGGGUAGACUGGUUACAGAAAUGCUGCUUUUGUAUUGCGGUAGCGUAUACUUAAUGCCUGCACUCGGUAUUGUAGCUGGAGAUUGAUGGAAGGGACCAUUGCCUGUGUACGGUUGUUGGAAGGCAGCAGAAGGCAAGUAAGUAUAGCUCUGAGGCAGAAAAGGGAAGCUGAUCAUGUUGGCAAAGUGGCUUGAAGGAAGAGCUGGUUGAGUGUAAUGGUGGACAGGUAGAUGUUGAGGGAGAGCAGGACCCGUAGAAAUGGUGGUGCUUUCUGGAGAUGUCUGGGGGUUGGAGAAAAUGCCCUGCUUCCCAGCCUGCACAAGGUAAGCAGAAGUCAGGACAAUGAAACGUAACUAAAAUUAUCAUGGGAUAGCUUAAUCAUUAAUGAAGCUACUGAUUUUGGAACUGGGGACUAACUGCUCUGAUGCUAAGGGAGGAAAAGACAGCAAGUGCAAUUUAUAAUUCCAGCAUGAUGAGCCAUCUGAUCAUGCUAACUCAGUCCAGGCUAAUUAAUUGAUGGCUUGAUGCCUCCAUUGCUCUUUGUCAAGGCCACAGAAUUUUAACACAAACCCAGAUAAUCAAGACAGUUCCAGAUUGCACGAGCAUGAGCAAAGCCAGCUCAACUCCCUCAAGUGCUUGCCUUCUGUGUUGUGCAUAAGCUUAAGAUUUUAAGCUCAGGGGUUGAGGCAGGGUUAAAUGUCAUGACAGAUUCAUUUGUUGGCUUAAUUUAUAAGAGCAUAUGCUCACUAUCAAGCCAGUGCAAGUGAAGAAGCUUGAACUGAAAAGAAAACUGUGAACUGAGUUCAGUGAAGACAACUCUUAAGAGCCUGAGCCAAGCUAGUCAGCUUAUUACCAAAGAUUGUUAGUGACCUAAUCUUAAAUGCCUCCAGUAGUGAAUUACAUUUGAAGAACAUGAAGGCAUCAUGGGGCAGUAGACAAUCAGCUGCCAUUGUUGGAAGGUGUAUGUGCAUCUUUUAAAUAAACCAAGUGGCAAGAACAAAAACAAAGCACGUCAUAAGCCCAGCUACCAAGUCCUUAAAAUUUAACUAGUUCAAAAUGUUGAUGAAUACCUCGGGCAUGGAAAUGGUUGGCCCACUAAUAGAAGCCACUGCUGUAUUAUAUUUUGCAGGCAUUGACUGCGUGGUGAGUAAGGGCGAGAAGGGAAGGUCAAAAUCUCGGAGAGGCGGAACAGUUGCUGCCAAUAAACUGCUGGGUAGAGAAUUAGGUUGCUGCAGAGGAUUAUACAAUUUCAAAUGUUAGAUCUGACAUAGAAACCUAAAUCUUGCACAAGGAAGGAGACCAACUAUAAAACAGCAAUCAUUGAACGACAAAAUACAUUUAAAGGAAUAAAAAAUAUUUUUUAAAAUAUACAAUCUCAAUAUGAACAAAGCAUGAAAUUAUACAUCAUGACCACUCAGCAUUGAUACUUUAUUAACACAACUCACCAUGCCGCAGAUCUUAUUUUCUCAUACGACUGUCUUUAUACGUUCUUUGUUAGAGUCAUUCAGAAGCUUGUCACAAGAACAAUGAAAUAAAAUCUGAUAGUCACCAACUAUAUGAGAGUUCAGGUAUAUGAAAUUUUAAUUUUCAAAAAGAUAAUAUUGAGAAUGAUGAUCAUAACAGUCAGAGGUCAAAUAGCAAAGAAAUUUAAAACUUAACCCAACCAGUUGGACCAACACUUCUUGGCAAUACCCGUUAGAUUUCAUGUAGAACGGUAUUCUUUACAUUAUAUCAUACUAGAUAAAGAGUUCCCAUUACGCUAUUGCAUGAUAAAUAUUCUAGGUUAAGUCCUGUUCAAGGUCAAGCAACAGCAAACUGCUGCAUUUGAAGAACGCUCUCUGGCUCGGUGAUUUGGGACUCGGCGUCGUUGGUGCCUCUCCCAUUGCGUGACAAUGAAUUUUCUGAUGCUAGUGGCUGUAUCUAUGUAAGGGCAGUGCAACUGUGCCGCAUUACCAAAAAAACAGAACAUUAAAAUUUUUAUUUCCUCAAUAAUUUAUGAAUAUUUCAUAAAAAAUUGAUAUUAACUUGAUAUGUGUAAUCAGUAUUAUUAAAAGUUAAUAUUAUUUCUUUUUAUUAACAUUUACUAAAAUACACUUCAGAAAAAUCUAUAUUGAAGGUUAUGAUAUUCACCAUUAAAAUGUCCUACUGUCCCAUCUCUGCCUAACUACUACAACAACCUAAAAUCUAACUGGUCCACAAAAUGAAAUUGGCAAGUAUUGGCCAUCGCAGAAGUAUAAAUUUAAUACAGCAUUAUGUGUAAUUUACUCCAUAAACAUCCUUCACAAGCACCGCUUGCCCAAGAAGGGGCAUAAGCUGAAGUUGUCUUCCACAAGCAUUUCCCAUGACCUGAUUACUCUUACCAAAACUGCAAAAAUAUUGGACCGUUGCUGGAUAACGAAUUCAAUACAAAACAUGGGAUUGAUUGCUAGAAAUGCAAAUGGGUUGGAUUCACGUAGGAUGCAGCAAGAAACAAACCAAACUUCAAUAAGAUAACCUGCUUUGGGUUGGGUUUUCCUUAUCAGGUCGGUUCAGACCACAAUCAGAUUCUCAAAGGCACUACAAUGGAUUAUAAACUUUUGUAUUUUCCCCUUCAAUACCUUUUUUGUCACUCAACAUCCUAAUAAUGAUGAAACUACUAAUUAAAAAUCAGAAUGUGCAUAACUGCAUUCUAUUCAUAAUGAUUUUAAGUAGUUUGCGCCAGGUAGGAAGCAAUGAUCAUGGAUGGCCCUUUAUUAUAAUAUACCGGCCGAUUCAGCCUGUACCGGCUCUAUCGGUCCGGUUCGGUGUUAAAAACCGGCAUCGGCCCAUACUAGUCGGUACGGGCCCAAACCGGCCUGCCAUACCGGCUUACCGGUUCUAAAUUUUUUUGGGGCUUUUCGAUGCGUGAACCAAGCCAAACCAGUGGUACCGAUUCGGUACCUGUCCGAACUGGUACCGGCGCCCACCGGUACGUCGGCACGGCGAACCUUAUUAUGAACUUUGUAUAUUAUGCAUACUUAUACAUUCAUGCACGUAAAAUAUUACCAGAUCAUUUAUCAGAUGACCAUGUCCAAGACUCUUGCAAAUAAGCUAAUCUGUUCUAGUUUUAGGAUUAAAAAAAUGAUUAUCAACAUUCAGGCCUGGCUACCAGGUUGUCUAUAUCUAACUAUCUGAACCCCUAUGUGAUCAACAAGAGUCAGUGAUAGCAACCUGUUAUUGUUAAGAGAUGCGUAACUAAAGUGGGGAUAAAAACAAACAUCAAUUGAAACAUUUUUACUUGUCAAUCUUCAUACUGCUUUAGAAAGAUGGACACCAACAUAUUUGGAGGAAGUUACUUCCUCCAGUUGCUUCAAGUUAUUAAGUUCUGGCUAAGAAAUGCCAGUAGCAUAUCACUUGAGGUAUUUGUUGUUUUUCAUCCAAUAUUAGUGAAGAUUUUUAUGUAGUUAGGUCCAGUGGAUGAUUUUGUAUAGCACUAUCCAAUGUUAUAUGUGACAAGCCUCCUAAUCCUUUCCUAAUAUCUUUAGCGUCCUUGCUUAAAUGCUCAAACUUCCUCACCAGCUACAACAAAUUUUCUUCCUCCCUAACUAUGUCACCCAGUGAUCUGCAGAAUUCCAAGGAGAAAUUUUCCAGACAAGAAAGCAUCAAACACAUUGCUCAAAUUUGACAGCAAGCACGUCUCCAUCUGAGAGAGACCAUUGUUAUACAUAAUGAAUUUUCUCAUGACCCUAGAGGCAUUAACAUAAUUCAGAACUGUGGGGAGCAACUUCUGUUAUCACUACCAAAAAGAUGACUACCAUAUCUCUCCACCAUCGAGGAUACUCUCUCAGAAAAGAGACACUGAUCCCACCAGAAAACUAAAGAACAUAUCCAAUUAAACAGGACAGAUUUAUCCAUCUCCCACUUUGAAGGGGCAACCCUUGAACCACGAGAUCACUAUCAAGUUCACAUGCACUGUUGUAAACCCAGAAACUGAUCCUGAAGAUCCUGAAUAUGAAACCCCAAAAUAGCACGCAUUGAUAUCAUGAUCCUGGAAGAUAUGUAGACAGGCAUAAAACCAUGGGAUCCUAUGUAUAAAAACAGAUAAACAAUUUAUGGUUUAACAGCAACAUAUGCUAUAGAAUUUUGAAGGACUUUGACAAUUUUACUUGGGCAUGGAAAUUAUCAUCUUGUUCUUGGAGGAAUUUAUAGCAUAAAAAGAACAACCGACACUUUCAGCAUCGAUGAAAUUGCUCAAAUAUAAGCAUGCCCAGACAUUAAUUACAGCAUCCAAUGGACGAAUGCUUAAAAUUAUUUGGGUAUCUCGAGACAAACCCCAAACCAGAAAAUUCAAAAGACAACAGCACAUGCAACUAAUCAUCUAGCAUCACCAUCAUGCCAACUGUACAAGUUACAUCUGAAUCAACUACAUCGAAAUGUGCAAUGAUUGUAUUCUCAGAAAGUUGAAGGUGAGGACUUGUACUCAGCAGCCACAAACCACACAGCAUAGAAAGGGAAGCAAAAAUUAGGAUCUCCAGAAACCUUUGGACGCAAAUAGUUAACUAAAAACAUUCUCGAGCAACUGGAUUCAUAAACUGAAGAUAUGUUGACCAAAAUCCCUUCAAGAUUUUCAAUCAUGAUGUUAAUCUAAUUCGCAUUUUUGGUCACUUCCUUAAAUAAGGUCUGAUAAUGAUCAGAAUUAGCUAUUCCAUUUGAGCCUUUAGUUAUCUUCUCACGCUCUUUUAAGCUUUGCUUCAAUACAUACUACAUUGAUGUCAUAGUUUCAUUGCAAGCACCUAAUUUUAUUUUUUGUUCUAUCUACAAUCCCAUAAGGCUGCUUAUACUAUUCAUUCAGAAAAAAACUGGAAUGGAUAAAUCAUGACAACAUGGUCAUUUAAAAAUACUCUGGCUUAGGAUUGAACACAACCCCAUAUGCAUCAUGUACCUUUGACCUUAUCAUGGACUAGAAUAUCUUUCCUGUCAUGCCAGAGCAUGCCAAUAAUUGAUACAAGACAGGAAAAUGCCAUAUUUUGUAACUACACAAUGAUGACUUUACAUGUAUGAUUGAGAUCUUGCCCUUGUUUCAAUGUCAAAGCAACUCAAAGGAUGAUACCCACUCAAUUGAUGAACUUAAUUGGGCAAAAACAUUAAAAAUCAGCUAUUCCUUCUGUAUCUUCUAGAGGGACAGAUAUAGUAGAGGUGAAUUAAUGGAUUUUUGAGGACAGAUAUAAUAGCUCUGCAUAUAAUAUAUUUUUCCAAAAUGUAAAACCCGUUAAAGUCUUAUACAAACUUGAAAACAAAACUACAGCUUUCUGGUAGAAUUGGUAAUGAACUAGAUCAUGGUGAAAUCUUAAUAAGGAAAACAAUUCAUGCUCUGGUGUGCAAAAAAGCAACUCUUGAUGUCAAAACAUUACAUGUAAUACUACAUCAUUUUGUUUAACAAGAUAAUGAGGUUUUAGGUUAAACAUUGUAAGAAGAGUCCAGCAAAGAUGGUGAUGUUCAUGUGAUUUUGUGGCAAAGCUAUUAAGAAUAGCCUCAGAAAUGUAAAAGCAGCUCUAGGAGCCAAGAAUCAGAGGAUGAAGGCAAAAGUAUAUGGAUGGAUUGGACACAAGCAACAUUGGCCAAAGAUAUCUCCAAUAUGAAGAGGGUCUUGGAUUUGAGUUGACAAGCUGGAAAAGGAAACGGAAGACAGAAAACUUGAAUACUAGGGAGGUGUGUGAAGACACUUAAGCUUUCAAAAUAUUUUCCUUCGUUAAGAACCAAUAGCAAAGUAGACCCUAGAAUUCUUGUCUAUAAUUUUCUUUACGAUAAAAAAAAGUAGCAUCUCUAAACAUAACUUUUGUAGUUUCAUCAACAUUGACCAUAAAACAAACUAUACAAUAACUAACAAGUCAAAACGAUUACAUGUAAGGAACUUAGAAACCAGGCACGAGCCUGUACCUUACAUUGUUGAAGUUCUAUCGACAUUAUUGUUUCAAUAAAGUUAUCAUGUCAGAAACACCAACAUGACCUAUUCAAGGUUGGAGACAUAAUGUAAACUGGAUACAUUUAACAUUUUUUCAUAAAAGUAAAACACAAUAAAUCGAAGCUUUUUUGGGUUUCGCCAAAAAGCAAAGAGCGGAGUAGUGAUUUACCAUUAGAUUUGAGAAAGGGGAAAGAUUCUGCAUUUGUGUAUUUCCUUGUGGAUAGGUAUAAGCUGCUUCAUUUGGCUGUGAUGUGCUUGAGAGUGCAUAACCCGAGGCAGAUGGAAAAUUGUAUUGAAGCCCGUGUGUGGCAUCUAAUGUAUCAUUUCUGAUGACCUCAGGUUGCGAAGCUAAAGGCAUAUCAAGAUUCCCUGUGUUUGUGCCAGUUUUAGCAGCUACAUCUUCAUUUGAUGUAGAAAUCAGUUGCCCAUUGUUGUAGUAGUCAUCAUUUCUGUCAUCACAAGUAUGCAUUGUCAUACGUUGAAAAUUUGUAUCAAGAAAUAACAAAACACCAAUAAUACCUAGCAUCUGGUUGAUCGAUUGAAGAAGCAGUUUCUGCAACUGGGGCCACCUCCAAGUUACUUUUCAGGGUCUUUGAUGGAAAAGAUCCAGAAAACGCACCAGAACCAAAACUACCAAAGCUCAAAUGUGCGCAAUCUGCGUUUGUAACCUGCAGGUGAUCAGGAAUAAUUACUGCAGGGUUGUCCUCAGCAGAUUUUGCACCUCGCUCCUCCGUGUGCAGACCUAGUUGCCGUAGGUCUGCAGCAGCUGAUGAAAGUUCUGCACUGACAUCCUCAACUGUAAAAGGGAAAAGAGAAAGAUACCAGCAAGGAGAUGCCAUGACCAGGUUAAAUAUUAUAGACCAGCCAACCCAUUUUAAAAACAAAGAAGAACUUGUGUGCACUCACGAAUGCAAAUAAUAUUUACAUGACAUGAAGCAUAUUUCUACUCAUGAUGGUGUCAAAAUGUAACUAACCAAGAGAAGGGUAAAAUUUUGAAUGGUUCAGACAUGCUAAAAGAUUCCAAAAAAAUUCUGCCGAAGACAUACUUCUAGACUUUGUGACACUUCUGCACUAGUGUGAUACAGUUUUUAAGGUAUCAAUCAACACUUUAAUAGCAGAAUGCAUAUAACAAGCUUGGGCAAAAAGCAGUUCAAGAGGCAAAUAUACUAUAGUACAGUUCACUAGGUAUCAACCAACCGUUUAAUAGCACAAGGCAUUAAACAAGCUUGGACCAAAGUGGAAUUCAAGAAGCAAACUUUUACAAACCAAUACAUAGCUGAGAAAUCACCCUUGUAGGACAGAUACUUUCAAAUUUCUAACAAAUUUUGCAUUGCCAGAUGUGCCAAGAAGUUCUUUUAAGAUUGUCGCGGAACAGAGGGGUAGAUAUGCAACAAAUUAUAUCAUAGGGAUGUUAGAUUUAUGGAUGUAUGGAUUACUCUGCUUCAAACAUAUGCAAUCUCAACUAAGAAACCCUUUGCUAUACUUUUUCCUAGUAUAAACCAUGCUUCAAGAGAUACUUCUAGACUUUGUGACACUUCUGCACUAGUGUGAUACAGUUUUUUCAGUAUCAAUCAACACUUUAAUAGCAGAAAGCAUAUAACAGACUUGGGCAAAAAGCAGUUCAAGAGGCAAACUUUUACAAACAUGUUACUGUAGUAUAGUUCACUAGGUAUCAACCAACAGUUUAAUAGCACAAGGCAUUAAACAAGCUUGGACCAAAGUGGAAUUCAAGAAGCAAAUUUUUACAAACCAAUACAUAGAUGAGAAAUCACCCUUGUAGGACAGAUCCUUUCAAAUUUCCAACAAAGUUUGCAUUGCCAGAUGUGACGAGAAGUUCUUUUAAGAUUGUCGCGGAACAGAGGGGUAUGGAUUACAGAAUUCCUCUGCUUCAAACAUAUGCAAUCUCAACUAAAGAAACUCUUUGCUAUCCUUUUUCCUAGUAUAAACCAUGCUUCAAGAAAAAAAUAAUAAGAUUUCACCAAUAAAAUAGGUUAUUAGUGGGGAAUUUUCAAGAUCAGAGCUUUAGUAUACUACUACGUGUUGGUCUGGUGCGUUAUUACACCUAAUAAAGAAUUAUAGUCCAAGUUGGCUUUUCAGAUUAUAGUUUGCGCCUCACCCAUCAAACUGAUAUGCCAAACCUUCCUUCUUCCUUCUAUCUAGACUCGAUUUAAGACUAGAGUUACCUUGGCAGAUUGCUCCUCGAUGUCAUGAGGUUAAACUGUGUAACCAACAGAAUGGGGCAUCUUAUAUACACCCGCAAGCAUCUAGCUUGAAAGGUAGGCCUGUCAUUGUCCAAAAUUGCCCUGGCUAGGAAUUCAGAACAAAUUUACUGCACAAGGUUUUAGAUGUUAUUUGAAUCUCAGUAAAUCAUAUCUUGAUCCACAAAGCCGGUCCCGUACGAGUGGUUAAUGAUUGUGGUUGAUGUAAAGGCUGGUCUAGAAUACUUUAAAAGUUUAUCUGAGAAAAAAGUUAUUAGAAUUUAAUAUGCAUAAUUUUAUAACUAAUCUUAUUUAUUUAUGUUUAAUGAACUUGACCUCCAUAUCAAUCUCAAAAAUAUUUUGUGCCGCAUGAAACUAACUUUGCUUGACAAUUGUGAUUGCAUGGAAGAAAACUCGGUUCAUAUCAAAUUAAGGUCCAUAAAGAUGUCACCUACUACUAUUACCAUGAAAUGUCAAAAUUGACAAUCAUCUGUUUCAUGAACUAUAUUAAAAGCAUAUACCAACUAUAUUUAAAAGCAUACGCCCGUGAAAGUAACUUUGCCUCAUUAAAAUUGCAAUUAUUGGAGAAUCACUCCCAGAAAAUAUGACGAACAGUGCACUACUAAUAACAGCAAUAGUAUAUGAUAAAAAGGAAAAGAAGAAAGCCGAAAUUCAAUAUCCAAUUGUACCUUCAUGUUGCUCAAAUGCAUGCCUUUGAGUCUGGUAGGAAUUCAUGUUCUUCAAUAAGCCAUCAUUCAAAUGGGAACUCUCUCCAGGAUUAUCCAGUUGUAUAUGCCUGUCAGAGACAGCUGUCGAUCUAAUGGAUUCUGCUGGUAGACCUCCGCUGCUAACAUUUCCCUUUAGUACUUCAAUCUCAUCUAGAUGAGGACUUACAUGCAGAACUCCAUCAACAAGCAAUGUCGAAGAGGCUGAUAGGUCAGCAUAAACAGCUGAGGUGUCAGAUGUUUCUGGCACAAUUGACCCGCUUCCUGCUGGCGGCUCAUCAACUAGAGACCAAUCCUCAUGAGAUGUAUGAUGGCCAUCAGCAACGCCAAUAUCAUGAGCAUUCUCUGUAACCUGUGAAAAAUUCUGAGAAGAGUGUACUUUCUGAUCCGGCUCUGAUGGCAUAACUGUGGUUGGGGAUUGCUUAACACUUUGGUGGGAUACGUGUGACAUGGCAGCAUUUUGUGUUGUGGAGGACCUGUCACUGGCUACAAUAGGUGCAUUACAAGGCUUGCCUUGAGGUCUGCCCAUCUUCACAAUAUCAGCCAUCGAAACAUGCCCUGGCUUCCCCAACCAAUUGUGUUGGAAUCCAGAUGAAGGUUGCAAGGGUGUAGGCAUUUCUUCAGAUAAGCCUGUUACUUGUAUUGUAUUUUCCAUUGAAGCAGAAUCACUGCAACAUAAAAGGAAGAAAAUUUAAUUAAAGAAAAAGGUAAAAGUUCCAUUAAAUGAUCAUCAGAACUGAUUACCAACAUGUUACUAAGCCAAGAGAAAUAAGCCGUCAAAGCUGUAAAAAAAAUAAAUAAAAAUCAUUUUGAUUUUGAAUAUGGAGAGUAAUGUAUAAUCAGAUAGAUCAGUUUUGAAUGUAAACAUCAUGCUGGAAAUCUCCCCUGACAGCACGUGUUCAAAACUCAUCUUCUUACCAGUCAAGACUACACCAAUGCAGGAGGAGGUAUAAUUGCAUAAAAGGCACUUGAGGCAAAAUUGAGAAAAGCUCAACUGACCUAGACACGAUGAAAUAGUGGUGGAAUAGAAAUAUCUGCUCUUAAAUUCUCUAUUAUGAUAACAGAAAUGGCCAUGUUCACCAGCUUGAGUAACCAAAUAUGAAGAUGACCAAGUUGGACCCAAGUAGCAUGUACAAUUCAGCAUUUUGACUUAUCUAAGGUAGUACAAAACAUACCCUUCCAAUUAGUGGCAACAAACGUCAGUGUUAACAUGGAACCAAACACUUAUUGUGGAGGUUUUUUGUUUAAAUAUCAUUCUUCAAACACUAGAAUUGCAGUAUUAUAGCCUUUCAAAUUCAGACCAUACUGCAUAUUUUUUAGAUGGUGUUCCUCUGAAUCUUUGUUAAAGUUUCCAAGCAUCAGAAUAUCUCAAACAUAUAAGACCAUCAGCCACUAAAUUACCUGAUUUUAACAACUAUAGAAUAUCUCAUAAGUCAAAAUUCAGAAUAGAGUUGCAUAGAGAUAGAAAACCAUGCUAAAUCACUGGGGCAUUAUGUAACUUAAAAAUCACAUAAAAUAAAAUGAUAGACAUCCAAACAUGCUAUUGUCAAUAGCAUUGGUUCAAAAGCAACAAACUUACACAAAUUUUUGGGUUUAAGUCUGGUCUGAAGUGUGCAUAACCUUUUUGCUAGAGUAUGUAGGACAGAUCACGGUUUAACGUUUCAAACAAACUCGGAAACCAAUACCAUGAUGUUCUGAUUUCAACCAUAACCAAUCCAAAACCUGACCAGUUUUGAUGUUUCAGCUGACACCAGUUCAUGCAUGGCAACAUCAGUGGCUCUAUAGUCAUUUUUUUCAUUUCUAUGAGUUCUGAGAAACAUUUUGUCAGAACUAAGAAUGAACUUUGCAAGUCUUGCAAAAAAAUUGGGUUCAAAGAAAUUUAAAGAAGUCAAUUCUUUGACAGAUUUGGUUACCCUAAAGCUCAAAUCUCAUGCAUGAAACAAUUGAAAAUGAUACAUAUGAAGUUCACAAAAAAAUAGCAUAUCUUAAAAUGAUGCCAAUUCUAUUUUCUUAUCUUGUUGAUUUUUAUUCAAUUUUCUGAUAUUUCCUCUAUUUUGCUAUCUUUGGAACUUUUUUUAGCUAAAAUUAUCAUGACUGAUGUUAUGAACUUCCAAAACAGCUAAAACUUUUGAAAAUAAAAUUCAUUUAAAUGCCUAGCCAAAAUCAAAACAAAGCUUUUGAACUUUGUGAUGAAUUAUAUUGUAUUCCAGGUCUGCAAUCUAAUUAUCGAGUAUUGCACCAGUACAUUACCAGUUCCGUGCAGUAUGAUGGGUAUGGCAUGCACGACAUACCGAGAUAGCUGGGUGGUACGGGUUGGAACAAUACAAUCUACAUCCCGGUUUGGGGCGGUACAUGGUGGUACAGAGGUGAUUUUGCUCGGUUUGAACUAGUAGGGAUCAGUUCGACUUAUAUACCAAACCAAACCUCAAUACAACAAUUAAUACCUUACCCAUAUGAUACGGUACGGUUGAUAUGGGUUGUUACGAUAGAUCUUAGUUGUAUUCCAUGUCAUUUUAUUUAUCUAUCAAUUUGCUCCAAAUGUAAACUAAGAGAAGCUCAAAAGAAUGGCAUUGAGGUUUACAUAGGCAAAUAAGAAAAUAAAAUUGCAUCCACAAAACAUAGCAAAUAAAAGCAUUUAGGUAAAGAUGUAUACAUGCCCCAUAAGAUGGCAGGUUUAAGUAACACAAAUAGGCAAUUAGAAAGUAACUAGACAUCAAUUAAAAGUUUAACGGUCAUGGAACUUGAAUAGGAUAGGGCAAUAGUCCGCCAACAAAAAAUAUAGUUGGUUCAAGAAGUAGAACAUUUUAAUUCUCGAUGUCUGGAAGCAAGUAAAUACUAUCCAAUAAAGUUUAGGAAAUACUGACCUUGGAAUUGUUGACCUUCGAUUAGGAUUACUUGCAACUAUGCUAGAUCCCAAGAUUGAUGAGGUAGGAAGACUAGUAAUUCCAUUUUCUUUCUUGUUUACAGGUUUGCCACGAGUAACUCCAUAAUCUAACAGAGUGCAACCAAAAAGAGAAGGUAGAGAUAUAAAAUUACAAGUGUUAGAUAACGUCUUUGGUGUACAAGAAGAACAACAUGACACAUCCACAUACCACUUGAACUGGAUUGCGCCGAACUAUUACGUCCCAUACGGUCAAUACCACCCCUCGCUCCACGGCCUGAACUAUUCACUGCUCGAGACCUGGAUUCUGGAGGUUCUUUGAUCUAAACAAUAAAAGACAAAAGGUGGGAAACCCAAAAAAAAUAUUAUAUAGGCAUUCAAGAAAUGCUAAAUUCGCUUGUGCUUUAAUAGAUAGAACAUUCGAAUAUAAAAUUUAAAUCAGGUUAGCAAUUGCCAUCUGAAAUAACUAUUACAACAAGAGAAAACUAAUUAAUAGUGAUAGCUGUACUAGUAUGGAUAAAUUGUUGAAGCAACAACAUUUGAUAACAAAGAUACUGGAGUAUAUAGCUGGUACAAAGAUUAAAUGGUGAAAUAGAAUUUACAAAGCCAACUUACAAAACUUGAUAAAAUUAAAAAAUCAUUGUUGUCAGCUAAUAGUUGUGUAACAUAUAAUAUAUGCAAAACUACAAACCAAGUUCAGAACUGUGAACUGAAAAUUAAAAAAAGAAAUAAAAGAUAAAAGAGUAUAGCCUAUCAUCCCUAAUGACUGGAGCAUAAUUUGCAGCAACUAUGAUUAAAUAAUAGUUACACUGACCUCCUUUUUCUUGUCACGUUUGCUCUUCACCUCAUGAAAAGUAUCUACACAAUUAACAAGCAUUAAAUUAAUUAUAAAUUACUAAUAGCAUGAAAAGCUGUAUGCACAUAGCCUUGAAUUAUAUGCUACAGAAAAUGCUGGCAACAGCAGCAAAGAUGCUUAUAAUGUAUCAAAAUAUAUAUGUAUCUGAUGAGUUUCAGAACUAUGUUAUCAACAAAUAACUCGUAAUAAUAGGCGCUGUACUAGAUAAUAACCAACAGAGAAAAAAGACAAAACACAUAUGCAACUAAAUAUUUUUAAAUCCAAAGACAACAAACUUAACAGAAAAGAAAAUGUCGAGAGCUCCAAAAGCAUGAAGUGGUUAUCAGCAUUUCCUUUUCAACUUAAAAGCACAUUUUAUUAUCCUUUGAAAGCAAGUGAUUAAGAAAAUCAUGAUUAAAAUUGAAUAAUAAUAGUUGCAUUACUAAUAUAAACACAAACUGAAGAAAAAAACAUUGAAUGAAACAAUCAGUAAGUACUUCCUACAUGUUCUAAAGAGCAAUGGGAAAUUGAAUUUUGUUUUAAAUAGAGUCUCGUAGGGUUUUCAGUCUCUGUGCUAGACCCUAUACCGGUACUUUACUGGUACAGGUUACACCAAUACACCCCGCACCGACACAUGGUACGUAGCUAGAGGCAAGACAAUAUCAGUACAGUAAUGUAUUGAGCCCCCAUACUGUAUCAGUAUCUUAUCAGGUUUGUACGGUGUGACCGGGGAUAACAGUCGGUAUAAAAAGCCUUGGACUCUCAAAUAUGUGCAUAAUUUUUUCACAAUAUAAACGGCCACUAAGGGAAAACUGGUCCAGACCAAACAUCUAAAGCCAGUCAAACCUAAAUCAGAUAAUAGAAGUUUCAGACUAGUUACAUAUUAGUUGAAUGUUAAAAGUGGUCAAAACCAGAUCUUGAGGGGAAAAGACAAGAAGCCAGUAGUUUUUAUUUCACAUAAAUGUUCUUUUUGACAAACAACAAAAACAUAUUUACUGAAAACUCUUGGAUCUUAAUUUUGUUAUACAUGUUCAUUUAGCUUACAGAAAACUGACCCAUUCAAGCAAUUUGUGUCGUUAAGCCAAAAUCAAAAAACAUCAGAAAAAGCAUUCCAAGAGAUAAGAUCUUCCACAAACCUAACACGCGACCAAUGUCAGACGUUAUAUUUAGCCUGCCCUUCUUAUAUGCAUCUUUCGUUUACAAAUGCUUUAAGUCCUCCACAAAGGUCUCAUAACAUAGUAAAUCACCAGAGAGGCAUUCACACACCACUGAUACUUGAAAAAUUCAGAUUUAAGCACUUGCAAGGCAAAACUAAUCUAACAAAAAGAAAGAAAGUAUUGUUCAGGUUAUUGCAAAACACUGAUUAAUAACGCUACUUCCUAAAAGGCCUUUGUAAUAUCACUUUUCAUCACCUCUUGCAAGUCAUCGGAAAGAAAAGAGAGGAAAUCAUGAAGAUGAGCAAGAGUUGGAUAAAUUUCUAAAUUAGAAGUCAAAAGGAAAUAUUAUCAUUUUUGAUGAAGCAUGAAAGUCUUUAUUAAAAUGAUCUAGAGAGUGAAAAAAAACAUGAAUCAAAGUAUCCAGAAACAAGCUUUCCCAGCUUUUUUGUACUUUAAACAUUGGUAGUCUAUAUGACAUCCCUUCUUAUAUUUUGUACGCAAAGAUUGAGAAUUCGUCAUGAAUGAUAGACAGAAAACCUCGAAUGAUAUCUUGAAAGGCUUAAGCACAUUGAUUGGACUCAAAAGAAACAUAAGUGUAUUUGGCAGUUAAAGAGAUGCAGCAUAGACUAAGGCAAUGAUAUCAGGCACACAGGAACAUUAAGUGCAGUUAGUUUUGGUGAAAACUAAUGCAAUUAAGAAUAGCAGAGGUGAAGCCAUACUACAUGUAGCACAUUGAAGGCACGGAAGGAAAAUAAAGCACUGAUUUCUCAGGGACAAAAAAGGGAAGCACCUUCUGUAAAACAAUAAACUCCAAACUUAAUCUUAUACAUAAACUGCAAAUAUAAUUAAACACCAGCAUAUUUAUUGAAAUAGCCAAACAAUAAGAACCAAUCAUCCAUCAAAGAAAAAUACGACAAAAGACCCAACUCUACAAAGUUUGAAACAAAACAAAGGAUCUUCUUUUCUUUUAUGUUUCCUCCCUGAUCAGUAUAAGCAAACAAGAUAAGAAGCGGGGCAUUAACUAAACUUAGUCGUGGGAACCACAAAGGAACACUAAAAAAACAAAGAAGGAAAAAGAAUCUCCCAGUCCACACAAGUAGGACUCUUCCAAGAAAAUAAACAUGCCACGGACUGAAACCCACCAACGAAACUGCAUUUUUCACUAUAUCGAAGCACAAAAUUGACGAACGUAAAGUGACACCCACCCCUUAUCUCAUUCCGGCCAAUAAACCAGCCCUUUUCCCCAAAAAGAUGCCCUCUUUCUUGGAAGUUCUUGUACUACUAAUUGGUCUACAGACAUGUUCAAGGAAUCGAGACCAGAGAAAAGAGUAAAGCGUAGUGCAUUAACAAAAAUCGAAACAACAAAACUCAAGGGAAGAAAAAAAAAUUGCAGUCUACCCUCGUAAGAGCUAUCUACAAAAGCAAAAAUGGAUUUUUUUUUUCUUUUCUUUUGUUAGAUCAAAGCAGGAAAAGAGCAAACAUGGAAGAUUUUCUACCCAUUAUCUCUUUUUCUAACAAACUAAACCUAAAACAGCCCAAAAAACCUAAAAGGGCUGCUUCGUCUCCUCCAAGAUGCCACUUUUCUCGCUAUUCCCUCAAUUCCCGGUCGUUGCACGGACAUAUACAUAAAAAAAUGGAAAAAUGAGAGAAAAUGAACGAGGUGGAGGCGGCACCUUGAGAGAGGAGUCGGUGGACGGCCUCGUUGGGGUCCAUGUUACACUCCCUGAGCAUGGAGUAGAUCUCCGACUCCGGGCAGUUCACGAUCUCCUUCACGCACUGCACCAGCUUCCUCGACAUCGCCGGGAUCGGGCCGGCCACCGCCCCGUUCCCCCUGCUCCCCCCCUCCCAGCACCACCACCACCACCGCUCAUCCUACCUUCCUCCCCUCCCUCUCCCCAAAGGACAAAAUCCCCUCCCUUUUCCCCUUCUCUCACUCUCGCGCUCUCCCUUUUCUCACCAGAAGAAGAGAUCGGGGGUUAUCUCUCAAGUCUCUCCUCCCUGAAGGCGGCCAAAACCCUCCCGUCUUCUUUGUCUCCCAAUAUAUAACCCUCACUCUAAAAUAAUAAUACCGUGGUCAUCUUUUCCUUUGGGUUAGGCGAGCAGCGAGAGCUCCCUUUGCCAAGGACCAAGGUGCGAUUGCCUUAAAAUUGUGAUCCAUAGAUUUGUCACCCAAGUAAAUAGCGACGAUUAGGAUGCGCCGCAUCCGCCCAUUCUCUGAACUUGUAGUUAUUCAUUAUAGGUGUUCGCCGCGAGCAGGAUGUACGUUCUAAAAAUCAGCUAGGGCUCAAUUUGGUUCGGAAAAAAAAAAACUAAUAUAUAUAUAAUAAAAUAUAAUAUUUAAAAAAUAAUAAUUUUUGUAUAUUUAGCUGAAUAUUAAAAAAAUUAAAAUAUCUAAAAUAGCUUAUAUUUAGUUGAACAUCUAUUUUUUAAAAAAAAAAUAUGUAAAAUAUCUACUAUAUCAUUAAUAAAAAAUGCUUUUCUAUAUCUCAUGAGUUUUUCUUUUCUAUAAAAGUUGAAAAUCUUAUUUAUAUGUGAAUCUACUUUUUCAUCUUUCUCCUUUGAAAACUCUAACCAAAUAAAAAGUAUUUUUUGUUUUUCUGUUGACCAUAUUUUUUUCUUCUUUUUUCGCGAACCAAACAAAUCCUAAAAGAAUUAGAUAGUUUUCACAUUUACUACCAUACCUUUCAUUUCGGAGAUGUGUGGCUUUUCUUUAACAUUAUGUAUCACACUCAGAAAUAUAUGGAUAUUAUUUUGGAUAAGCGAGAGUUGUGAUACUUCAAAAUGGAUGAUAUAAUGGCUAUNNNNNNNNNNNNNNNNNNNNNNNNNNNNNNNNNNNNNNNNNNNNNNNNNNNNNNNNNNNNNNNNNNNNNNNNNNNGGAAUGAUGGUACCUUUGCGGUGAAUUUUGAUAUUGUCAUAUGCAACAUUUUAGAAAGAUCCAAGCUGAGUUUGAUGCAAAUAUGAAGCCUAAAUACUUUCAUUCUACGUCUAGGUGCUUGGUGACUGCUCAUACCCUUUAUGGCAUUUUUGUUUUUUUGUCUUUUUUUUUUUGGCCAAGAGAAGAUUAUACGGCAAAUUAAUGGGCUUAACAUGUUAAAAGAAAACGAGCACAGCUAUACCUACUCUUUGGGUAAUUUUACUUUUAAAUUCAUAUAUUUUGAGUGGACUUUUUUAAUUUCGUUUUCAAGACCAGUAAUUUUUCAUUUUAAAUCAAACGUUAUAGCUCAAUGGAUCUCUGCAGGAUAAUGCUUUUAUUUAUAGUCUUGGAACUAGAACUUGCAAUGAAAUACAACUAAAUUUGGUGUUCCUGCAUGAGAUUCAAUUCAAAAAAUUAAACUAGAUUUGAAAAACCUGGACAUAAAUCAAUCAAUGACAUGGUUUGUUUGCCAAAAUAAGCAAAAUGGACUCUCCCAGCAGAAAAUAGUUUAAGCUCAAAUAAGGCAUAUGGCAAUUAACACUCAGUGCAGCCCUAUACAUUUUUGUUUGUGAUCAAUAAGAAGGCCAAAACUAUUUAUAAAAUAGCCCUCAUUCCUCUUUCAAGGCCAUCUAGUCUAUUAUGUCAUAUGAAUAUUUAUAAAUAACCACCCUUGCCACCUUUCAUUGCCUUUUGAAUUAGAUCCAUGUUUCACUAAAUAAAGACACAAUAAAAAGAAAAAAAAAAUGUUUCAGCUCUUUAUACCAACAAGAACAUUUGAUUUCUGGCAUAAUGUCAUAGAUCACACCAAUGAACUCCUCAGUAUCUGCAGCUCUAGGCAUUCAGCAAUGUGGUGAUUAUAUACCAAAAAAAUUGAUGAUGUUGAAAGUUGGCUCUGAAUGGAACUAUAGGAAAAUAUCACUUAAGCACUCUACACAUCAAACCUUUUAAAAGCCUUUAUCAUAGACUUUCAAAAGCAGCUGAGAGAACUUGUGAUUUAAACAUAACCUGUUGUCAGCUUGAGAAGCCUGUAAAUCUUCCAUGUAUGAAACUGAAACUUCUUUCAGCUAAGAAGUUGACAAGCCAAGACCUUGUAUACAUCAAAAUACAAAUUCCGGAGGCCUUCUGAAGCUCCUAAUCGUGUUAGACUAUAUAAUAGCUGAAAGUUUUUGGCCAUGGUCCGACAACAUUAUAGGGACAUGCAGCAACUCCAAGCAACACAACCUAAGCCAUUUCAUCCAAGCCACUCUGCACUUGAAACGAUGAACUAUAUAUCACCACAAUAGAACUACAACCAGGGAUAUUCGCCAACUCAUCCUCUCUCAUCUUCUGUAUCAUCCCACCUCCCACUUUUCAAGUACAUGUUCGACAAAGCCACAUAGCGGCAAGUGUCAUGGGGACCAAGCUCAAGGAGAUGAUUUUCUAUAUUCUCACGCAUUCAAUGUUCCCAUGCCUGCUUGAAGCUUCAAGUAGAGUUCCCCGAGCACGAACACUAACCUUCGCAUCAACUGCUUUAACAAACACUUUAGCUUCAUCUAGCUGCCCACCUGGCAUCCAAGAUCAACCAUGCAUGCGACAUGCUUAGCUUUUGGUUCUAAAUUGUAUACUGUGCUCAUUAUGUGAAAGCACCUCUGCCUGUCCUUGACCAUUUAUGCCAUCUCGGAAAAUAGCUGUAGAGCUUCUCUACCAUUACCAUGACUGCCAAGGUUUACAAUUAGAGUCCCAUGCACUGAUAUCCCUCUCCUUUGUGCUAGUAAACACGACAAGAGCCUUAUCCAUUCUUCCACACUUUGCAUACACGUCCAAGAGCGCCGUUCCUAAUUCAGCAUCCAAUCUAAUUUCCUUCCUAUUAACAUAACUAUGGAUCCAUUCACCUUGUUGCAAGGCCGUGAGACAGGAGCAAGCUGAUAGCAUGCUCACCAGAGCAAACGUGUUGGGUUCAAUCUUUCUUGCGAGUCACGAGCAUCUCAUCGCGGGAUCCUUCAUCUCCGAUGGCAUCUGAUCAGACAAAAAGCGAGCUCUCUCCAUUGAACCAGAACUACAAUACCUGCCAAACAUGGCGUUGCACGUGAUAAGCUUCUUUAAACGCCCUGAUCAAACAGCCCCCAUGCUAUCUCCAAAUAUACACACUUCACAUACCCAUUCUAUCAGACAAUUAGAAGACAAUGCAUUUCUCUCCGGAAUUUCGUCAAACAUCUUCUCUGCCUCUCCUAUGAGCCCCAAAUUCAAUUACUGAAUUCGGAGGCAAACAUCUCGCUGAGGCAUUCUAUCAAACAUCCGGCGAGCAAGAAAAUGAUCCCCAUAACUAAAUUGAAUCGACGAAUUCUGCAUGAAUAGAUCCGCUUGCAGCUCGUGUUUAUAGACCAUCCCAUGGACCUGACUCUCUUAUUCGAUUGCUUCGAGGCUAGAACAAGCCUUGAGAACGAAGGGAAAGGUCAUGGAUUUGGGCGCCGCUCCCGUCCCUCGUGCGAGGACUAUUUGGUGGAAGAGGGAAAAGGCGAGCUCGGCUGGCUGGUGUUGGCGCGGCCGCGGGCGGCAAGAAGGCGGAAAGAGAAGAGGGAGUGACGGACGAGGCCGUGCAUGACGAGAGCGGAGGGGGCGGGGGCGAAGUCGGCCAUUCCACGGCAGAAUCUAGAUAGGGAAACGGAUGGGGGUUGGAUUGCGAAGACGAGUAGCGUGACAAACAAUAGCCAUAAUGAAGCAGAACCACCUAAACUUAGAGCAAUGAUAUCCGCUAGUAUAACUCGGUUAUAGUGCAUCAAAUUGUGCUCCCUUCUCUCUUUUUUUAAUUGCAUCACAUGUUAUGCUUUUGAAAUCUUUUGUUGGGAAUGGAUGUUUUUGUGAUGCUUGUGGUAAUCUAAGAAUGUAUUUGUUUGUCUAAGCAAAUUUUACAUCGUUUUAUUUUCUUCUCAAAUUUAUAAUUUAUAUCCUAUAACACUUUUUUCCCACUAAAGAGGUCACUAAUGACUAGAUUUCAUUCAAUUUUCUUCAUCAAUUAAAUUCAGGAAUUCAAUUUUCUCAUUCUAUCCUAUAACAUUUGACAGACACCAAGGAUGGAUGGCCAGAUUUUCUAUUCUAGUUUAUUGCUCAUGCCUGAUCAUUCCCUUGCCAGGCCAGGAACUGAGUAAAAUUAUGAUUUACUAAUUAGGAAAUCGAACAAGCAUUUCCCCACAUCAUUUUUAGAAUUUCUCUAUUUUCUGCAAAAAAAAUAUUCUAGCCUUUUCCUUGUGACAAAUGCCAUUUCAAUAUGACCAUCGACUCUCCAAGCACUUCUACAUCUAACCUUGCUAUAAUAUCUAUUAUGCUUUAACCUUGAUAUAAAAUCUAUUAUGCUUAAACUCUUAUGUUCUUGAACCAGUUCUCUUCCCAUCUUAGCUUUAGCACAUAGAAGCAAACUGUUAGUUGCCUCCCGUCGCAUAACACCAAAUAAAACAAUUGCAUCAUAUUCACAAAUCCAUCAACUAUUGUAGAAUUUCUUGACUUAAAGUAGUAGGUUCAUAUAAUGAUCCAUAACAUAGCCAUUGCCUAAAACAGAAGCAAGACAUGCAUGACAAAGUUUGGCCUACGCAACGAUAUCAUCACCCACAUAUGCUAUGCUAAAAAUGCAACCAGUAACCUCCACAAGUAGAGCACAAGUUUGAUAGUAUAUCAAAGUCACCACAAGAAUUCCAUAUGGAUAUUCCUAAGCAACAGCUUUCCUUCUUAGAAGAUGCUCGACAUGGAGAGAAUUGAUCUUGGCAGCAAGUAUGAAAUCAUUUUCAGUCAAUCCUCCUGCAUGUAACAAAAAGCAAAACAGUUUUAAGAGAUGAAAAAAGAAACAUUUUUCAUUAAAACCUCAUUGUAAUUGCAUAGAAUAUAAGCCAUGUAGCGUCACACAAGUAGCUCGGCACUAUUCCUGCAGCAUUUAAUAUAGUUAAAAAAAAGUUGAAAGAGCAAUGUUCUAUAACUAAUUUCAGACAAUGAAUAGUCUAUAUGACAUUCUGACUUUUUCUUGGUAUCUAUUAGUAAGUUCCCCGGCCUGUUCACAUACUAGGAGAAAAAGAAAGAAUUUGCUAAUGUUAUAAAUGCAACCUCUAGCUUUUCUAUAUCAAGAAGGUAAAAGAGGCAUCUAUUCUGUAAAUGACAAAAUAGAGAGAAGUUGUUCUGACAUUGAUAAAUUUACCAUUGGAGACCUAAAGAUGUAUGAACAUGUGUUAAUGCAUAUACAUGUGCAACAUUUUCAGGAUGCGUGAAUUUGUUGUGGCUACUUUUCCCAUCCAUUUAUCAUUUUAGUGUGAAUAUAAGCAGGCUUUAAUGCUCUAACAAUAAGGUUGUACUACAGGUAAAUAUCUGCAUAAACUAUCACUGCAUCAUUAUAGGCCACAGCAAAAGAAAUUUGGUGUGAAUCUUCAACCAGUCCAGUAAGGUAACUGAUUGGCUUGUACACAGACAUUUCCUACAUCCAAAAACUCGAAAGUAGAUAUAUCUCCAAUAUAAAGUAAGCCAAAACAAUUUUCCUGCAAUUUGAAAUGAUAUACAACAUUUCAAAUGCAGCACGGGAUGUAGUCCUAUACCGCAUGUUGAUAUCUUGUACCACACCGGCUUUUCAAAAAAACAAUAUGCCUCCGGUACUUGUUUUCAAAACCUUGACUAUGAUACUUACUAGAGUCAAUGAAAUAUUACAUGGUGAUGGAAGAGAGAUAUUUUCAGAUAGAGCCAACUCCUUUUUAAGGUUUUUUCUUAAAUAAAUAUGAAAAGUAAAUCACCACAAGCACCCUCAUCCGAAUGAGAAAGCAUAAGCUCUUCAGUAUUCUUGAUCCAAGAAGGACAAAAUUUAUCCACUUAAAAGACAAAACUAAAGUGAAUUAACAACUUCUUACCAACUGAAUGAGUCCAUAUAUCAAUUUUAACGUUGUUCCAACCAACUAGAUGAAGGUCAGGAUGAUGACCUGAAAAGGACACAUGUUGCCAGCACAUAUAUUAAAAAAUUGGUAACCACAUUUGAACAUUAAAUUUGAAAAGCAUCUUCCUAUAUAGAUCAAUACAAAUAAAAUUAUUUGCACACUUCAAGCAUAUCUGAAAAAUUUCAAUCAAAAUGUCUAAAGAAGACCAUCAAAGAUGUAAUAUACGAACUAUUUUUUGGCUUAUAGCCCCUUGAAUUUAGGGUCAAUAUAAAAUAAUACACUAUGAUACACCACAAAUUGAUUAGCAAGGAUGAUAUUUAAUCAGAAGUGCAUAUAAAAACUAGCUUAGUUUUCAUCUGCUUAAGAUCCAUAUAAUCACUUUUAACAUAAUGGCAUUUCAAAAUAAUAAUCCCAUGGUUUUCUUGGUGUCAGAUCAAAGAACGAGUUAAACAAUAAUUACAUGAUAAUACCAAAUAGUUUAACUUCCAUCUGUCUAAGAUCCAUAUAAUCUUUUUUUUUACAUAUGGCAUUUCAUCAUCAUAGUCCCAUGGUUUUCUUGGUCUCAGAUUAAAGAACGAGUUAAACAAUAAAUACAUGAUAAUAGGUGAAAUCAUGAAAGCUAUUAAGAAAAUUGAGAUACUGAUACAGUAUGAAGAAUUUUUGAAAUUGCAUGCUACAUAAAAACAUACAUAUAUUCCGUAUAAGGCUGAUAUCUAUCAAUUCACUUUCAAAAGACUAGAUGAUUAUUUAACCCAAGUACUAUAUACAUUCAGCAUCAUUGGAUGGCUAUGGAAAAUGCUGACAUAGAACUAUCAUCAUACAUACAUACAUCCAUGCAUGCGUAUAUUCCAUAUAAGGCUGAUACCUGACCACUGCAUUUUUAAAAGACUAAAAAUUAUGGAACCCAAGGACCAUAUAGACUCAAGAUCAUUAGAUAGUUAUGGAAAAUGUUGAGAUAGAACUAUCAUCACACAUACACACAUAUUCUGUAAGGUAUCACUUCACUCUUAAAAGAGUAGAUGAUUACUGAAGCCAAGGACUAUGUAGAUCAACAUCAUUGGAUGGCUACAGAAAAUGUCAAGAUAGAACUAUCAUCAUAAUCAGUAUGAAAAUUUCACCAGCACAAAAUCAGAUGAAAAGAUCCAACAAGUGAUUACAGAAUUUAAAAGGUGAUUAUACUGAUGCAUGUUUAUAGUGAAUUCUUUUGAACAGUAUCGUUCUGCAUUAUUCUGUGUUGAUCUCAAGUUUGACACCAUACAGUUUUCCACUAAGAAAUGCUAUUGGUGGUCCACAAGAUAGCACAAGAUAUGAAGCUUUCCAUAGAAUUAAUAAAGGACAAGCUAAUAUGAAGCUUCCAUAGAAUAAAUAAAGGACAAGCUAAUAUGGAGCUUACAUAGAAUUAAUAAAGGACAAGCUAAUAACAAACCCGCUCUUAUCUCCAAGCAGUGGCUACAGCCGGUCGAGCAAUCUAGAACAAUUUAAGUACUUUCAAAAAAACUUACCAACAUGGUGACUAACAUAGGGUUCCUAAACUAAAUUAAAACUUAAUCAAAAAAUCCUAGCAAAGAUUCAUCCAAAUGUGACUGAUAAAAUAAGCAAGAAACUAAAAAAACAGAGAACUUUCAUAGUUGUUGCCCUACGCCUGAUAGCCCUAUUGUCUAGCUUGCAACGCUAUUGUGCCUGGAAUAUAUUAUGGAUGCCACCUGCUGUUUUAGCAUUUUUUUUGCAUUUGCAUCACAAUCCUACUAGAUAACACUAAAUACAUACAAAAAGAAAUAAAAGUUUGAGCUCAGAGUCUUUUUUGUUGCAAGAGAAUAUAAGAAAAAGGAAUUAGAAAAGAAAAGCUUUUCCUUGGAAAUUUAAAUUUCUGAAUUGUUCAGUUUGCCAGAAGAUUUGAUGAUUUGAGGAAAGAAAAUGCUUCACUUGGACACUGCAAAAGUUAAACUCUGCCUCCCUAAACCUGUUCUGAAAUUACAAAGUCGAGUUUUGCAGCAAAAAUAGAAAAUGAUUUUCGUAUUCUAGGCUUUUUCCUAUUUUCAAGAAAACAGAUAAAAAAAUUCCAGGGAAAAUCUAUUUUUAGAUGCCCUUCUCCAAGCAAACUAAAAGACCCUGUGGGCAAAAAAUGAAAACUCGAAAUGAGGGAAAAUGCUGCAUAAAGAAAACAUCUAUAUCUCAAAAAUAUCAAUGACUGGCAAUAUGUGAAACCAAAUAUACCCUCUGCCUCAGCAACAUCUGCCACGAGCUGAAAAAACUCCAACCCUUUUGUGAAACUCUUCACUUUGCAUGAUCGAUGCAACUUCAUAACACCACCUUCACUCAACAAAUUCCAACCUUGUACCUAAUUUCAACAUACAAGUCAGAAACAUCUUCACUCAACAAAUGCAGAAAGGAGCCUAACAAGAGGUUGUAAGCAAACCUGUGCAAGUAGUUCAUUUGCUGACUGUUCAGACAUUGGUCGAAUAUCCUUUGAGUCACAUGGAACGCAUUUCUUGGAUGUCAAAUCUGUGAACAGCAUCAGAAGAUUUUUAGAAAGCAAGACAAAACUCCAUUCCAGAUCUCCCUACAAUUUGGCAUAGAAAUUUAAACCUGGAAAAUUAGCAUUUUGGGAUACCUAGUACGUCGGAAAUUAUAAGUUUACUGUGUAGAUGCUACUUAUCACUACAAAAGAUUUUUGAUGUAUUUAAAUAUAGAAAAAAACUCAUAAAUUUGUAUCAUCUAAGAAGAAAAGGACAACUAUAAUUUAUUACUGAAGAUGAUUCGGGCCGAGAUUACCAGCUACAACUGGCUGGUACAUACCAGACCAUUUGGGGAUCAGCACGCAGCACCACACAGCUAAGUAUCAUUUUGACACAACCACAUGCUGUUCGAUAUACACCUUAUUGACAGAUAAAUCCUCUUUUUCUGCUCAUUUGAAUGGUGGGUGAAGGUCUCUUCUUGUGUUGGUAUCUACACAACAUGAUACAUACCAUACUAAUGCCAUUAUGAACCUGUACACCAACUUUUAAAUCCUUGAUGUAUCCACUAGUGUUGUGCGUUACUCACAAUCAAGGAAAUUGUGUCCUCCACUCAAAAACAGGCUCAAUCUAAUUUUGUUGCCGCACUUUGAGUUAAUUCUCAAAUCAUUAUACUAACAUUUCCGAUACCUUUUUCUUUUCUCAAAUUUCCUACUAUAAUGUAUGUGCAAUGAUGCUUUAGCAAUUUAUAACCUUUUUACUUUUUUGAUGUUGGGUUCAAAUAGGCGGGGCAAGACUGUGUCUCUAGCCGGUAUUUCACCUAAAAAAGAGAAAACAGCUGGUACCAUACCGUAUCGAGUGUACUAUGCCGUAAUGAUACCGAACCUUACCAUACCGUACCACAUAAAGACACUGUAAUAAGAUGGUAUUGGUUUGGGUUCUAGUACCAAGACGGCAAACCUUGCUAACAGAUAUCUAAAAUAAAAGAAGAACAUAUAUCAUGAACACAUAAUGUUGUCAGACUGAAUGCUCCAAUCCCCUAACACAUACCAACCCAGCAAAAUUCAUGGAACCAGGAGUGGCAUUAACUUUUCUAAAAACCUAACCAACAAAGAGAACU